UAAAGCCCAAAGCCAGAGAAAAAUCGAGGCAGAGAACCUUCCAUCCCACACUAUAAAACAGCACCUUCACUCUCCAAUUUUCUCAUCACACUUAGCAAACUCAUUCAUAUCAAAUCUUCAUUUCUCUUCCAUUUCUCCAAAUUCCAAGAGGUAAUCAUGGGUGUGAUCACUUACGAUGUAGAGACCCCUUCCUCCAUCCCGGCCGGGAAGCUCUUCAAGGCCCUGGUGAUCGACUCCGACACCCUCAUCCCCAAGAUCCUGCCUCAGGCCAUCAAGAACGUCGAGAUCUUGGAAGGAGACGGCGGCGCCGGCACCGUCAAGAUCAUUCAUUUUGGCGAAGGGAGUCAGUAUAAGAGCGUCAAGCACCGUGUGGAGGCCAUCGACAAGGAGAACUUCACCUACACCUACACCAUCAAUGAAGGUGAUGUUCUCGCAGAUGUCAUUGAAUCCAUCACUUACCAUAUCAAGGUCGUCCCAACCGAAGAUGGAGGAAGCAUCUGCAAGAACAGGAGCAUUUACAACACCAAGGGUGAUGCUGUGAUUGAUGAGGAGAAGAUCAAGGAGGGGAAAGACAAGGCCCAACAUAUGUUCAAGGCCAAUGAGGCUUACAUCACCGCCAACCCCGACUACUGAAAGAGACGAGGCUUCAUAUAUCAAUGAUGUCAUUUUAUAUAUAUACGUGGUUUCUGAUAUGAGAUAAUUGGUGUGCGAGAGACUAUGUAUAGGCUUAAUUGCCUAGAGUGAUAUCGAUUUACUUUGUGUGAUUUUUGAAUUUGUGUUGAGUGAAUAUUAUUGUAUUGAAUUUGUGUUGCACUAAAUAAAGAAGCAUAGUUUUUUUUUUUUUUUUUUGAAUUAAUAAAGAAGCAUAGUUAAUUGCAAGUUUGGUGGUCGUGGGAUUAAUAUUUUUAUUGUUCUCUUGUGGUUGUUUUGUUUCUUUAUUUAGGGGUAACUAAUAUAUCCAUAUAUUUCAGAUUAGCAUAUGAACAUAAAUUUCACCUCAAAAUACAAGAACUUUCAUUUUUUAUUUUUUAUUUUUUUCUUUCUAACUUUGCACCUGAUAAAUAAUUUAACGUUGAAAACUGAGGAAGAUGUUGGAAUUAAUCUAUGUAUGCAUAGAGUUUUGAUAUAUAUUUUUAAUGAAUGAAUACUGAGGUAGAAGUCAGAAUUAUCUUUACAUGCAACGAAUUUUUUUUAUAAACAACAUAGUUAGACUAGUAAUGAAAUAUUGUCGUUUCAUCAUAAAAUAAGUCCUAUAUUUUUAGAUGAUCAUUUAAAGCAUUUUUUUUUUUGCAAUUUAAGACUAAGAGCAGUGGCGGAUCCAGGGGGGGCUAGGGGGGGCUUCAGCCCCCUCCCAAUUUUUGAGUUUUUUUUUUUAAAUUAUAGAUAUAUAUUUAUUAUUUUGUUUUAUAUCUAUAUAUAUGUGUAUAUAAAUAAAAAAAUACAAGAAAAAAUAUAGUAAUACAUUAUUUAUAGUAUCCAACUAUCCAUAUUAAUUGCUCAACACAUUGAGUUGUUACAUUUAUAGUAUUAUUUUUAUCAUUUUUUCUUUCUUAGUUAAUUUUUAAUGUUAAAUUUGAGUCAAUUCUAAAGGUAAAAGUAAAAUUACUAAUUACUAACAAUGAAAAUUAGUUUAUUUGUUUAGAAGAUGAAACAAUUUUUUUUUAAGAAAAAUGAAUAAAAGUACGUUUUUAUAUGCUUUCAAUCUACUUGAUGUUGAAUUAAUUGAAUUGCGAACAAUUAUCUUAUUAUAUUAAGUGAUUGUUGAAAAAAUGUAUGAAAUGAAGUGUACGGAAUGCUCAAAAAAAUUUGCUUCGGGGGCUCCCGCCCCCGAACCCCCGUGUAAAUAUUUUCAAGCACCGUAGUCCAAUAGAUUCAGCCCCCCCUAACAUUGAAUCCUGGAUCCGCCCCUGACUAAGAGGGUUGUGAGUUCACGAUCAAGGCCGUACUUCAUUAUUCGUGAUUCAUGAUUUUGAAUUCGUUGUUCGGGUCCAAUAUUUAGGUUCACAUAAUUAGGUCUUCGAGUUGUGUGUUUGUAAUUGAAUCCGUUGAAAAUAUUUUUAAUUUGUGUGCAAGAUUAGGGGGAAAAAAAUGAAAUUUUAUAUAUUUGGAAAUAUGAUUUAUAGCUCAUGUGCAAAAUAAAAAAAUAUAUAAAUUUUUUUAAGAUGCUAUUACCACUUUUAUUUAUUUUCGAGUUGAGUUCAAAAUCAUAAUUAAGGAAGACUGAUAAAAUCUAGAGGUCAAUCGUUUAGGUUGCUCACUGACAAUGAAAUGUGCAAAAUUAAUAUAAAAAUAGGCCAGUGAACCAUGUGGAUUGAAUCGGAGUCUUUUUUAGGUUCAUUUAUAUAGUUGGACAUAAAAGGGGAUAGAGGUUUAAUUCACUCAGUAUAAAAGUUGACGGUGAAUUUUAGACCAAUUAAUGAGAAACAAAUUUUUUAGAAAAUCAAGAAUUUAUGAAUAACUUUUAAUAAAAUAUCAUAUAUAUUUAUUUUCUUUAUCCAGUACUUGAUUUUUAUCCUGUGAUUAUUUAUUAGAUUGCUGAUCCAGUGACUUGAUUUUUAUUGUAUUGGAAAUUGAAUUAUAUAUUCUAGGGUAAAUUUAAUCUAAAACUAUAAUAAAUUUUUGUAAUAUUUUAUUUUUUUUCCAUAAUCUUUUAUUCUUGUUUCAUAAUCUAUUUGAAAUCUCUUGAUUUGAGUUUAGUCUGUAUCUCUGGGCCAAAACGUCAAAUUUGUAUAUGGCCCAAAGGCUUUUAAUGGGCUACAUAGUCAAAUGGGCCGAAUUUUUAGGUCGAGAGUCCAUUGGGUCAAAAUUGCAACUACAGAACGGAAUAUUCUAUUUAAGGAGAUUGGAGUACUUGGACGACGCUGGGGUCAAAAAUUAUUAAUGCGAAUUUUUUUCUAAAUAUUAGACUUUUAAUAAUACAGAGACGACUCUUUACAGAAAUGAAUAUUUUUUAAACAAAAUACUACUUAUAAUAUAUAGUUUAUCCUCGUAUCUUAAGUGACUUUAUUUGUAGGUAUUAUUGUUCGUUUUUUAGUUAAAUGCUUAUUAUGAUGUUUGUAAUUGCAAAAAAUUAAAAGGCAUUCGUAUGAAAAUUGUAUAUUCAGAAAAGAUGGGUUAUUAUUGUGUGAUCACAAUUCACAAGCUUGAGCAGACUUAUUCAAGGAGAUUUGCUGCUCAAAUUUGUGUUCACAUUUAUUGCCAAAUACAAUCAAGAGAAAGUGUAGACUAGUCUACCAUGGAGUGCUACGUACAACCAAUUUUGGUCUUAAAAUAAAUGCAAGUGUGAAUUUUUCUUCUUAUUCUGUUUCUAUAUAUAUAAUUGAAAUAGCUCUCAAUUGACCCUACAAGAAUGCUUCAACUUGUGAUGUCAAAGCAAUUAUAGUAAAGACUGUGAAGUAAUAUAAAAAUACGAUUAACUUACAUCAUUCGGGAAAUUUUCUAUGCAUUUUCUUGACAUGUUUCACAUGCAUGCCACAAGGUGAAGCAAAAAACAUAUGACUUCUUAUUCAUUUUAAUUUAAUACUAAGUUAAAGUUAACUUAAAUCAAUAUCAUGAUUUGGCAUUGACGAACUCAUGCAGCUUAUAAAAUAUCAAGCAUAAUGAUUAGAUAAAAAUCGUCAUACUCGAGUGGUAAAAAAGAAAGAUACAGAUCCUUUUGGGACGGCUAAUGGUAAAGUGAAUAUAAACGUGGUUUAAGUCUGUUAUAUAGACCUAUUUUUUUAAAAUGAGAUUUGCAGAUUUCACAGAAACAUAGAUUUAUCAAAUAAUACGACUUGUCACACAUAGUUUUUGAUGUAUGAUUUGUCUGUAUCGAAUCUUAAUAUCAUAAUGAAUAGUUUUUUUUUUCACAUUUUUUCACUAUUUUCAAUACUAAUUACAAUACAUUUUCACCACUUUCAAUACUAAUUACUCCCUCCGUCCCGGUCAAAGUGGUGCACUUCUUUUGGGCACGGGAUUUAAAGAGAAUAAGAUUGUAGUGUAAAAGUGUGUAAAUGUGUGUGGGGCCAUAUUUUUUGUAGUGUAAAAUUAUUACCAAAAAAGGAAAUGCACCACUUUCGGUGGGACAGCCCAAAAAAGAAUACGCACUACUUUCGGUGGGAUGGAGGAAGUAUAAUAUUUUUCACUAUUUACAAUAUACUCAACAAUUUUGUAUUAAAAUUCGUACCCCUUAGGAAGUUAUUUGGGGGUCGGUAGAGGAUAAUGCCAUGUUCUAUGACACCCCAAAAUAUCAUCGAUUAUUAAAUCAAUCCAUAAAUGCACCAUGAAUAAUUAUGUCUACAUUCAACGAGAUGGGGCUAGCUAAAGCCCAAAGCCAGAGAAAAAUCGAGGCAGAGAACCUUCCAUCCCACACUAUAAAAUAGCACCUUCACACUCUCCAAUUUUCCCAUCACACUUAGCUAAUCUCAUUCAUAUCAAAUCUUCACUUCUCUUCCAUUUCUUCAAAUUAAAAAAAAAAGGGAAUCAUGGGUGCGAUCACUUAUGAUGUAGAGACCCCUUCCUCCAUCCCGGCCGGGAAGCUCUUCAAGGCCCUGGUGAUCGACUCCGACACCCUCCUCCCCAAGAUCCUGCCUCAGGCCAUCAAGAACGUCGAGAUCUUGGAAGGAGACGGCGGCGCCGGCACCGUCAAGAUCAUUCAUUUUGGCGAAGGGAGUCAGUAUAAGAGCGUCAAGCAUCGUGUCGAGGCCAUCGACAAGGACAACUUCACCUACACGUACAGCAUCCUUGAAGGUGAUGUUCUCUCAGAUGCCAUUGAAUCCAUCACUUACCAUAUCAAGGUCGUCCCAACCGAAGAUGGAGGAAGCAUCUGCAAGAACAGGAGCAUUUACAACACCAAGGGUGAUGCUGUGAUUGAUGAGGAGAAGAUCAAGGAGGGGAAAGACAAGGCCCAACAUAUGUUCAAGGCCAUUGAAGCUUACAUCACCGCCAACCCCGACUACUGAACGAGACGAGGCUUCGUAUAUCAAUGAUGUCAUUCUAUAUACGUGGUAUCUCUGAUGCGAGAGGAUCGGUGUGCGAGAGACUAUCUAUAGGCUUAAUUGCCUAGAGUGAUAUUGAUUUACUUUGUGUGGUUUUUGUAUUUGUGUUGAGUGAAUAUUACUGUAUUGAAUUUGUGUUGCACUAAAUAAAGAAGCAUAAUUAAUGUUGCAAGUUUGGUGGUAGUGGGAACAUUUUUAUUUUUCUCGUGGUUGUCUUGUUAUUUUAUUUAAGUGUAAUUAAUAACCGUAUAUUUCGGAUUACGCAUAUGAGUAUAAAUUAAAUUUCGUCUCAAAAUACAAUAACUUUUUUUUUUCUCUAGCUUUGCACCUGAUCAUAAAUAUUUUUGACGAAUAAAUAUUGAUAUAGAAGCCAAAGUUAUCUUUAUGUGCAACGAAAAUCUUCAUAAGCAAUAUAAUUUGAUUAGUAAUAAAAUAUUGUCGUUUCAUCAUAAAAUAAGUCUCAUAUUUUUAGAUGAUCAUUUAAGGCAUUAUUUUUCACAAUUUAAAAUUAAAGGGCUGCGAGUUCACGAUUGAUUCAUGAUUUUGGUUCAUAUAUUUAGGGCUUCGAGUCGUGGAUUCGUGAUUGAGUUGUGAAUGUUUGAAAAUAUCUUUAAUAUGCUUUGGAAAAAAAAAUUAUAUAUUUGGAGACAUGACUUAUGGCUCAUGUGCGAAAUAGAUAAAUGUUAUAAAAUUUUGUAUUUUAGAUACUAUAACCACUUUUAUUUAUUUUCGAGUUUGAGUUCAAAAUAUUACUCCCUCCGUCCCAAUAAAAGUGGCCACAUUUCCUUUUUGGGUGUCCCAUUAAAAGUGGCUACUUUCUAAAAAUGGCAAAAGUUUACUUUAAUUAAGUCAACAAUUACUCACUAAUUUGGUCAACAAUUGUAGGCCAUUUUCUAAAAAUGUCAAAAUUACUUACUAAUUUGGUCAACAAUUGUAGGCCACUUUCUAAAAAUUACUCACUAAUUUUGGUGGGUCACACUCAAUUAAAACAUAACAAUUCCCUUCUUAAUCUCCGUACCUAAAAAAAAGUGGUCAUUUUUAUUGGGACGGAGGGAGUAAUAAUUAAGGAAGACUAAUGAAUCUAGAGGUCAAUAUAUCGUUUAGGUUGCUCACUGACAAUGAAAUGAGUAAAAUUAAUAUAAAAAUAGGCACCAUGUGGAUUAAAUCGGAGUCUUUUUCAGGUUUAUUUAUUUNUUAGGUUAUUUAGUUUAGUUGGACAUAAAAGGGGUUGGGAGGUUUAAUUCACUCAUUAUAAAAAUUGACGGUGAAUUUUGGACCAAUUAAAGAGAAACAAUCUUUAGUUAUAUCAACUCUUAUUAUAUUUACGGAGACUAUUUAUAGAAAAUUCAAGAAUUUAUGAAUAACUUUUAAUAAAUUAAAUAUCCUUUAUACAUUUAUUUUCUUUAUCCAGUGACUAUUUAUUGGAUUGCUUAUCCAGUGACUUGAUUUUUAUUGUAUUGGAUAUUGAAUUAUUAUAGGGGUAAUUUUGACAUCUCGCCGGGGAUUUUUUAGACAAAACUUUAAAAUAAAAAAGUGCAAAUAAAAGUUACUAAUGCGAAAAAUAUUCUAAAUAUUAGACUUUUAAUAAUAUAGAGACUCUUUAACUCUUUACAGAAAUUAAUAUUUUUUAAACAAAAGAUACUAAUAAUAGAUUGUUUAUCCCCGUAUCUUAUAAAGUGACUAGAUUUGUACGUAGGUAUUAUUGUUCGUUUUUGAGUCAAAUGCUUAUUAUGCUGGUUUUAAAAGGCAGUACUGUAAUUACCAUGCAUAUUUUAAUAUUCGUAAGAAAAUUGUUAAGAAAGAUGGGUUAUUGUGUGAUCACAAGCUUGAGCAGACUUAUUCAAGGAUAUUUGCUGCUCAAAAUUUGUGUUCGCAUUGUCUUGCCAAAUACAUACAAGAGAAAGUGUAGACUAGUCUACCAUGGAGUGCUACAACCAAUAUUUGGUCUCAAAAUAAAUGCAAGUGUGAAUUUUUCUUCUUAUUCAGUUUCGAUAAUUGAAAUACCUCUCAAUUGACCCUACAAGAAUGCUUCAACUUGUGAUGUCAAAUCAAUUAUAGGUAAUAAAGACCGUGAAGUAAUAUCAAUAUAUGAUUAACUUACAUAGUUACAUAAAUCUAACAGAAAAAAAAACAAGAAGAAAAGUCCACAACGAGGCACUAACUAAUUUUGUAAAUGAUACUCUCUUCGUCCUCUAAAUAACUUCAUAUCUGUCCCCAAGGGGACACCAAGCGGUGCGAAUAGUGAAUAAAAAAUAAAAUAAAAAAUAAUUAUGUGAAUAGUGAGGUCUCGGGUUCAAACUCCACUGCCCCCCUCCCCAACACCCCCAUGUAAAAAAAUAAAAAAUAAUAAUAACUUCAUAUCUUUUUUUUAGGUUGUCUCCCAAAUAAUUUACUAGUACUUUAUUUUAGGACACUAUCCCAACUUUUCAUAAUACUUCAUUUAUUCUUUUUUUUUUCACCACUCUCAAUACUAAUUACAACACCUUUUCAUCUUUUAUUAUUAUUAUUAUUAUUAUUAUUAUUAUUAUUAUUAUUAUUAUUAUUAUUAUUAUUAUUAUUAUUAUUAUUAUGCACUCAAUAAUUUUAUCUUAAAAUCAAUGGGCCCCCUCAAAAGAUUAUUUGGAGGAUGGAGGGAGCAUAAUGCCAUGUUAUAUGACACCACAAAUAUCAUCAAUUAUUAAAUUCAAACCAUAAUUAAUGCAUCACGAAUAAUUGAGUUGCCAUUCAACGAAAUGGGGCUAAAGCCCAAAGCCAAAGAAAAGUCGAGGUAGAGAACCUUCCAUCCCACACUAUAAAAUAGCACCUCACACUCUCCAAUUUUCCCAUCACACUUAGCUAAUCUCAUUCAUAUAUAUCAAUCACUAAUCAAUCUUCACUUCUCCUCCAUUACUCCAAUUUUUUAAAAAAGAGAAUCAUGGGUGCGAUCACUUAUGAUGUAGAGACCCCUUCCUCCAUCCCGGCCGGGAAGCUCUUCAAGGCCAUCGUGCUCGAGCCGACACCCUCAUCCCCAAGAUCUUGCCUCAGGCCAUCAAGAACGUCGAGAUCUUGGAAGGAGACGGCGGCGCGGCACCGUAAGAUCGUUCAUUUUGGCGAAGGGAGUCAGUAUAAGAGCGUCAAGCACCGUGUCGAGGCCAUCGACAAGGAAACUUGACAUACACGUACACCAUCAUUGAAGGUGAUGCUCUCUCAGAUUUAUUGAAUCCGUCACUUAUCAUAUCAAGAUCGUCCCAACAGAAGAUGGAGGAAGCAUCUGCAAGAACAGGAGCAUUUACAACACCAAGGGCGAUGCUGUGAUUGAUGAGGAGAAGAUCAAGGAGGGGAAAGACAAGGCCCAACAUAUGUUCAAGGCUAUCGAGGCUUACCUCAUCGCCAACCCCGACUGCUGAAAGAGACGAGGCUUCUAUAUCGAUGAUGUCAUUUUUAUAUACGUGGUAUAUAUAUACCUGUGAUGCUAGAGAAUUGGUGUGCGAGAUAUUAUAAAUAGGCUGAAUUGCCUAGCUAGAGCGAUAUCAAUAUUGAUUUACUUUGUGUGGUUUUUGAAUUUGUGUUGAGUGAAUAUUAUUGUGAUGAUUUGUGUUGCACUAAAUAAAGAAGCAUAAUUAAUAUUGCAUGUUUGGUGGGAUCGUGGGAAUUAUUUUUUUUUUUUUCCGGUUGUUUUGGUAUUUUAUUUAUGUAAUACCUAUACAUGUCUGAUUUAUUAUGAUUUUAGACUAAAUUUACUAUCGUUAAAUAUAUCACAUCAUCCAAGUUCGACGCCAAAUCAUUUAAUAAUUCACCGGAAAGUAACGCUAUGAGAAAUUCCAAAAAAGAAAGAACAGAAAUGCGAUUUACUAUAUAUUAUGAAACAAGAAUAAAAUAUUGUGGAAAACUCAAAAUGUGAGAAUUAAUUAUGGUUUUAGAUCAAAUUUAUCCAUUAUCAUAAUAGCACAUCGUAAAUUUCAUUUAUUGGAUGAUAAUAAAAUAUAAAAAAGGAAGUUACAUUUCAUAAUCACGUGAUCUUUACAUACAUUUGUGUUUUAAUACGAUCUUGAAACUUUGCAUCAGAAAUGCCGAUUCAAUAACAAAGACGCCCAAACUAAUUAAUAGGCGAAACAUGUAUUUAUAUUUUUGGUGCAAUUAUAAACAAGAGAAAGAGAAAGUGUAGACUAGUCUGCAAUGGAGGCUAUAAGUGUGUAACCACAGCACCUUUUUUCUAAUUAAAUGUGAGUGAGACUUUUUCUUUAUCUCUCUCACAUGACCUUAACUACCAUAAGACUUCAACUUAUGUCAAAUCCAGGAUAGCCACAACAAGCAAGGAUAAUAUAAAAUAAUAAUUUCUCUAUCCUGUAUGGGAGUAUCACAUGUGGGAUGAUGCGAAUUUUAAAAAAAGAUUGAUAGAAAUGAAUAGAAAUGAUAUGAAAUAUGUAGAAAUGGAUGAUUGUAAUUAACAAAGAAAAAAUAGAGCCAUAUCCAAAAAUGAAAGUGAUACAUUCUUAAUUAUGAGACAGAUAAAAUAGAAAAAUAUUAUACUUUCUUAUAGGACGUAGAGAAUAUUAAAAAGUACUAUAUGUUUAUUUACAAAAAGAAAAAUAAAGAAAUUUAUGGUACAUGAUAUUCAUGAUACCAACGUUCAUGAUAUUUUCGAGAAAUUGUUCGAGCGAAUAUGUUUGUUGGAAUCUAUCAUAUGUAUAGAUCAACGAAUAGAGCACUUUAUAGCCUCUCAAAACUUGUUAAGCAUUGUUACGUUCUUGGUUAUUUGCUGGAUCGUUAGUUUUCCUAUUUGAUUGGAGGAUAUUGAAAAGAACGAUCUUAUUAAAUAAAUACAAUAAUUUUUUCUUUUAAAAAUCUAAAAAUAAUUUGUUUACCCGAAAUACACUUUGGAAUAAUGACUAUGGAUUCGAUCUUUUCUCCUCGUUCCAAAAAUAAAAAAUAAAAAUGAAAAAAAGGAAGUUUCCACAAAGAGUAAUUAACUCCCUGUGAAUGAUAAUUUUUAGUAUAUACAAUGCCAUGUUUAAAGACACAAAAUAAUAUGAACAUAUUAAAUCAUUUCAUAAAUUACACCGUGAAUAAUUGAAGUAUCCACAUAACAUACUUUUUUUUAUUAAGUUAAUACAAAUGUUCUAUUAAAGUAUAUAUUUAGGUGGUCCGCACCGUUGUGAACGUCCACAUAGGAUACUUCUCGAUCAUUAUACUAAUAUCUAUCAUGUGUCGAGGAAUGUCCAAAAUUUAUGAAUUACUACGUAACAAUCAUCUAUAGACAAUAUGAGAUAUUGCAAACUUGUGCGAAAAGAAUAUCUGAUUUUCAAAAGAUGUGGCUUGAAUUUUUAGAUAAAUUAAGGGAAAUAAUUAUAAAAUAAAUGUAAUAUCCCAAUGGAGAAAUUUUUAGAUCAAUCGAUGAAAAUAUAUUUACAAUACUUCUUUGUAGACAAAUUAAGAAUUUGUGAAUAAUUAAAAUAAUAAAUAGGAUUUCUUAUAUAUUUAUUUUCUUAUAAAAUUGCUUUUUAAGAUAUUGUUGUAGAACUAAGUAAAUAUGAUUUAUUGGAUGAAACGAGAAUAUAAAACAUAUGAACAAUCCUUAAAAAAAAAAAUUAACAUGAACAAUUAUUUGCUUUUGGGCCUGGCUGGGCUGGCUCCUAGCAUUUGGUGGGCCGGAUUGACAUUUUAAAUUAGUCACCAACAUAUAUAGCAGUAUGCCAGUAUAUAUGGAAAGUGAGAUCGAUUACUAAUAUACUCCUACUUUCUUGAAUUAAUCGAUAUACCAAUAGCAAAGUAAAUUAAUUUACCAAAUCAAUAACUCCAAACCCCAAAACUAGUUACUUGCUACAAAAGCAAAUAGUUAAUUUGAUUUCAAAUAAACUUACUCCGAACUCAUAAUUAGACUAGAUAUCGCACUUGUAAAAUUUGAUCUCCUAAAUACGAAAUACUUUAGGAUUCACUUUCCAAUUCCAACCUAUUCCCAAUUCACAAACCUCUAUAUAUAGAGAUACACACAUACAUUACUCACACAUCAUCGUCUACAUACUACAAUGGCUUUUCCCCCAUUCCUCAUGCUUCCCCUCCUCGACCAAAACACCCCUCAACGAAAACCUCAGAAACCCCCAAUGCGUGGGCUCUUCCCAUGGCUGGCUAGCUUUCUUGGACGAAAAAGCAAACCCUUUUCUCCUCAACCCCUUCACCAAAGCCCUAAUCCAUCUGCCUCCAAAACCAUCCAAGAUUUCCAAACUAAUCCUCUCCAAGAACCCCUCCUCCCAUACCAACACCUACGCCGCCGUCGCCAUGCACAUGAAUUUCCGGCUAGAAACAAACCUCUCCUUCUGCAGAAACGGAGACGCCGCGUGGAGGCUCCUCGACGGCCAAGGCAAGACCUACUACGACGUCGUCUGCUGCAGCGAGACCAACACCCUCUUCGCGCUGGCUCCGGGCCCCCGCGUCGAAUCAUGGGACCUGAACGAAGCUUGUCCGAAGAAGACGGUGAUAAUUCAAGAAUCUUGUCCGAGAACGCUGCAGCUGGCCCUGAAAAACUUCCCGGUCGAUCUCUACUCUUCGCAGUGGUACCUUGCGCUGUCCCCGGCGGGGGAGAUAUUCAUGGCCGUGAGGUACAUCGGGGAGUUUGUGAAUGGCGACGGGGAGGCGGUGUACGAGGGCGAAACGCUCACGGACUACAUGGCGGCGCCGCUGGUGUGCCCGUACAGAACGGCGGGGUUUCGCGUGUUUAGGGUUGAUGCCGGGCGGAGGGAGUGGGUUGAUGUCGACUGCCUCGAUGAAUUUGCGCUGUUCUUGGGCGGGAAUGAGUCGGUGAUGGUGCCGGCCGCGGGCGCGGGGUUGAAGAGGAACGCUAUUUAUUUCACGGAUGAUUAUUGGGAGAGGAUUGAUGAAGACUACAGCUAUGGAGGGCAUGAUUUGGGAGUUUUCUGCAUGGGAGAUGGCACAAUUGAAACCGUUUUUGAUUUUGAGGAGGACAAGAUUGAGCCGCUGCCGUUUUGGAUCACUCUUCCUCGCGAUGAAUACCAAUACUGAUGAUGAUGGCAUAGAUUUUAAUUCUUAAUUUUGUUUGUUCUGUUUAUUUCUUGAUCGAUCUUGGAGUUGUGAUCAAGUGUGUGAGUAAAGUAUCUACAUACAAUUAGUCUACACAGGUUCUCUGAUCUCGCCAGAGAAAUGGGUCACCAGCGGAAUGGAGAUUUCGCUGCUCUGAACUUGAGUUCUCUGGUGAUGCUUUGCUCUGCUCUGGACUUGAGUCCUCUGAACUUGAGUUCUCUGGUGAUGUGACUUCGCUGCUCUGGCAUUCGGGCAUUCGAUUCCUCUGGCAUGAUUUCUCUGACUGUGACUCCGCUGACAUAUUGAUUCCUCUGGUAUCUUGAUUUCUCUGGUCUGGAGUUCGAUUCCUCUGACGGGUAAAAUAUGCACGGGUGUUUAGUCUAUUGCUGAGGGAUCUGUUAGCAAAUAUGCAAGAGUUAAGGGAGUUCAGUUUUAGGUUAGUUACAACAGAUCUAACGGAUUUGUGUUCCCUCAUUCCAGAAGUCGACGCGUAGCUCAAAUUUUCUCAACUGCUAUUUCUUUUGUUUAAAUACUUAGGUUAAUUGUUGAGUUGAAGCUGAAGAAUUUCCAUUACUGUAAACUAGUUGAGAGUGAGGAAUUAUAGCAAUCUUGAUAGAUUUGUAGGCUAUACACUUCUUCUAGUGUUGAGUGUUCUCAAUUGUAAUUGUAAAGUUCUUGAGUGUUCAUAGUGAAUAGAAUUGAUUGUUCUGCACCGUGGAUGUAGGAUUGAAAAAUCCGAACCACGUAAAUCGCCUUCGUGUUCUUUUAUGUUCUUGCUGCGUUGAUUGUUUUCCCGAACAAAUUCCACAACAAGUGGCGCCGUCUGUGGGAAACGGAAGAUCGACGCACACCAACUGUUCGAGAUUUGAAUCGGAGGAAAUCUGAAUCGGAGGAGUUCUUGAUCGGUGGAGAAAUCGCCAUCCUUUUCACUACCAAAUGUCGAUUGCUAAAUUCGACACCGAGAAAUUCACAGGGAAGAACGAUUUCUCCCUGUGGAGAAUGAAGAUGAGGGCCGUUCUCAUCCAACAGGGCCUUGAUGAUGUUCUAACCAAGAGAAGGCUCCAAAAGAAGGAGAUGGGAAGGCGAAGUUCGCUGAAAUGCAAAAGAAGGCUCAUAGCACUAUCAUCCUACAUCUGGGAGAUAAAGUGCUGAGAGAAGUGUCAAAAGAGACACUGCAGCUGCAGUAUGGGCUAAACUGGAGAGUCUUUACAUGACUAAGUCUCUAGCAAAUCGGCUCUUCUUGAAGAGAGGCUGUAUUCCUUCAGAGUUUCAGAGGAGAAGAAUUUAUCUGAUCAACUGAAUGAAUUCAAUAAAGUCGUUGAUGAUUUGGCUGAUAUUGAUGUAAAGCUAGAAGAUGAAGACAAGGCAAUCCAGCUCCUGAGUGCCCUGCCCAAAUCUUAUGACAACAUGAGGGAUGCCAUGCUGUAUGGGAGGGAGACUGCUAUCUCCCUGGAUGAAGUCAUGAAUGCCUUGAAAUCCAGGGAUUGCAAAAGGCAUCUGAUGGUAGACAAGAACCGCAAGUGAAAGCCUCAAUGUCAAAGCAAAGUCAACAAAGCAAAAUCCAAGAAGCCCUUACAAAGAAAGAGGGAGGAUCAGGGAGAAGGAGGAUGAUGAGAAGGAACCAGAAGUGCCAUCUGCAAGAACCAGGGCAUAUCAAGAAAGACUGCCACAGCUGGAAAAGAAAACAAGCUCAAAAAGACUCAUCAGACACUGCCGACCUUGCUGAAAAUAUCCAAGAAGCUGAAGCUUUAAACAUCACAUCUUCUAAAACUGAGAAUAGUUGGAUAUUAGAUUCAGGGUGUUCUUUCCAUAUGUGUCCUAACUUGAAUUGGUUUGUUGAUUUGCAGAUGAAGGACCUGGGAUCUGUAGUUUUGGGGAACACCAAGUCUGCCCUGUCAGAGGCAUUGGUUCAAUCAAGCUAAAGCUACAUGAUAAUUCUGUAAGACUCCUAACUGAAGUUAGAUAUAUUCCUAGUCUAAAAAGGAUUUGAUAUCCCUUGGAUCACUACAAAUGAAAGGCUAUGAGUUUAAAUCAUGUGUUAAUGAUAUAUAUGUUUUAAAGGAAGAUAAAAUUGUGUUGAAAGGAACCAGAAAACAGACUUUGAUCAUUUAGUUGCUGAAACUAUUGUUGGUGAGUCUGAAAUUGCCUCUACGUGUGAUAUUGAAUUGUGGCAUGAGAGACUUGGGCAUGUAGUGAAAAAGGAUAAUUGAACUAAAGAAACAAGGUAUACUGAGUUUAUCUGCUAAUGAAAAACUGAACACUUGUGAUGCAUGUGAAUUAAGUAAAAGCAAGAAACUCCAUAUCCUGUUGGCAAACAUGUCUCAUCUGCACCUAUUCAAUAUGUUCAUUGUGAUCUGUGGGGCCCAUCCAAAACCACCACUAUAGGUGGAGGAGUAUAUUUCAUGUCUCUAAUAGAUGAUUUCUCUAGGAAAGUCUGGGUUUACAUUUUUAAAACACAAGUCUGAUGCCUUUGAUAAAUUUGUUGAGUGGUGUAGUGCUGUUGAGAAUGAAAAGGGAUGUAAGUUGAAAUGCUUAAGGACUGACAAUGGCUUAGAAUUCACCUCUGAAAAAUUUCAAGAAUAUUGUAAAGAAAGGGGAAUAAAAAGACAUAAAUCAGUACCUGAAAAUCCCCAACAGAAUGGGGUUGUAGAGAGAAUGAAUAGAACUCUCCUUGAGAGAGUUAGGUGUAUGCUCUCUAGCUCAAGUUUGCCACCAAAAUUUUGGGGAGAAGCAGUCACCACUGCUGCUUAUCUUAUAAAUAGAUGCCCUUCUCGUGCUAUUGAUUUUAAAACUCCUGAAGAGUUGUGGACUGGUAGGGCUGCUGAUUACUCAAACUUGAGAAAAUUUGGAUGCUUAGCAUAUAUGCAUGUUAGGCAGGAUAAGUUGGAACCCCGAGCAUUGAGAUGUGUUAUGGUGGGAUAUCCAACAGGGGUUAAAGGGUAUAGACUCUGGUGCAUAGAAUCUGGAAAGGGAAAACUUCUAGUCAGUAGAGAUGUAGUGUUUAAAGAAAACAUAAUGCCUCUAAAAGAGCAAUCUACUACUGAGUAUACUAGUAAAGGAGUUGAAAUAAACAAUGAUAAAACUAGUGAUAACACACCUAUUAAUGAUGAAAUGUCUAGAGUAUCAGAAGUGACAGGUAUAAAACAGGAGGAAAAUGAUCAACAAAAGGAUAACACUGAGGAUCUCAGUGAUUAUCAUCUAGCUCGUGACAGAGCUAGGAGAAUUACCAGACCUCCAGCCAGAUACUCUGAAGCAGAUAAAGUUAACUUUGCUUUCUCAGUAGCUGAAGAGGUAAAUUACAGAGAGCCUAAGUCUUAUAAAGAAGCAAUUCAGUGCUCUGAAAGCAAGCAAUGGAUCAAAGCUAUGGAGGAGGAAAUAGAGUCUUUAUUGAAAAAUAAGACUUGGAUCUUGGUGGACAGACCUAAGAACCAGAAAUGUGUAACAUGUAGAUGGUUAUACAAGAAAAAGGUGGAGGUUCACAAAGGCAUUGAGGUAAUCAGGUAUAAAGCCAGGUUAGUUGCUAGAGGUUUCUCUCAGCAAGAAGGUAUAGAUUUUAAUGAAAUCUUUUCUCCUGUUGUUAAACACUGUUCUAUUAGACUUAUACUUGCUCUAACUGCACACCUAGAUUUAGAAUUGCAACAGAUGGAUGUUAAAACAGCUUUUCUAAAUGGUGAGUUAGAGGAAACGAUAUACAUGAAUCAACCAAAGGGAUUUGAAGUAGCUGGCUGUGAAGGUCAGGUAUGUCUCUUGAAAAAGUCUUUGUAUGGACUAAAGCAAAGUCCAAGACAGUGGAAUAAAAGGUUUGAUGAAUUCAUGAUAAGUAUAGGUUUCAAGAGAACAUUGCAUGAUAGAUGUGUAUACUUGAAAGAAGUAGCUAAGUCUGUGGUUGUUUACUUACUCUUGUAUGUUGAUGAUAUGCUUAUUGCUAGUAGUUCUAGUACUGAAAUUGAUAAAUUAAAGCAAUCAUUGAGUGCUGAAUUUGAUAUGAAAGAUCGUAGGGGCUGUCUAGAAGAAUUUCUUGGUAUGGAUAUCAAGAGAGAUAGGGAAAAUAUGAAACUUAUGCUUGUUCAAUCUGAUUACUUAAAGAAAGUAUUGUUAAAAUUCAAUAUGAAUGAAGCAAAAGUUCCUCAGGUUCCUAUAGCUCAACAUGUUAAGCUGUCUAGUAGUCAAUGUCCUGUUACUAGUAAAGAGCUUAAAGACAUGAGUGUUAUUCCUUAUGCAAAUAUGGUAGGAAGCAUCAUGCAUUCUAUGCUUUGUACUCGGCCUGAUUUGGCUUAUGCUGUUAGUCUUGUAAGUAGAUUUAUGGCAAAUCCAGGAAAACCACAUUGGCUUGCAUUAAAAGGAGUUUUAAGAUACCUUAAAGCUACUAUGAAUAAAGGAAUUGUAUUUCAAGGUGGAGUUACUGAUUUAAAUCAAGCUCUAGUUGGCUUUACUGAUUCUGAUUAUGCAGGAAGUAUAGAUACAAGGAAGUCCCAAUCUGGAUAUGUAUUCACACUUUAUGGAACAGCAGUGAGCUGGAAAUCUACUUUACAAUCUGUGGUAGCUCUUUCCACUACAGAAGCUGAAUUCAUGGCUGUUACAGAAGCAGUGAAAGAAGGUAUAUGGCUGAGAGGUAUGCUAUCUGAGUUAGGCAUUAAUCAACAGGUAGUCUCUAUUCUUUGUGAUAAUCAAAGUGCCAUUCACCUUGUUAAACAUCAAUCUUUUCAUGAGAGGUCUAAACAUAUAGAUGUUAGAUUUCAUUUUGUUAGGGAUUUAGUUGAAAAAUGUGAAGUUGUGAUAGAGAAAGUGUCAACUGAUGAUAAUGCUUCAGAUAUGCUUACCAAAUCUUUACCAACUGUUAUGUUCCAAAAGUGUUGUUCUUUGAUUGGUAUGAGCUCUCUUGAGGAGAGCAAGUUGUUUGUCUAAUCUAUGCAGGUACAUGCAGGUAGCUCGGUGUAUUCUAAUUGUAUUAGAUAAGGUGGAGAAUUGUGAGUAAACGUAUCUGCAUACAAUUAGUCUAUACGGUUUCUAUGAUCUCGCCAGAGAAAUGGGUUGUCAGCGGAAUGAUGAUUUCGCUGCUCUGGAUUUGAUUUCUCUAGCAAUGCUGUUCACGACUAUGGACUUGAUUCCUCUGAACCUGAUUUCUCUGGUAAAGCAUUUCGCUGCUCUGGCAUAUUGAUUCCGCUGGCAUCUUGAUUUCUCUGGUAAAACAUUUUGCUGCUCUGGCAUAUUGAUUCCUCUGGGGUCNGUGGACUGGUAGGGCUGCUGAUUACUCAAACUUGAGAAAAUUUGGAUGCUUAGCAUGUAUGCAUGUUAGGCAGGAUAAGUUGGAACCCCGAGCAUUAAGAUGUGUUAUGGUUGGAUAUCCAACAGGGGUUAAAGGGUAUAGACUCUGGUGCAUAGAAUCUGGAAAGGGAAAACUUCUAGUCAGUAGAGAUGUAGUGUUUAAAGAAAACAUAAUGCCUCUAAAAGAGCAAUCUACUACUGAGUAUACUAGUAAAGGAGUUGAAGUAAACACUGAUAAAACUAGUGAUAACACACCUAUUAAUGAUGAAAUGUCUAGAGUAUCAGAAGUGACAGGUAUAAAACAGGAGGAAGAUGAUCAACAAAAGGAUAACACUGAGGAUCUCAGUGAUUAUCAUCUAGCUCGUAACAGAGCUAGGAGAAUUACCAGACCUCCAGCCAGAUACUCUGUAGCAGAUCAAGUUAGCUUUGCUUUUUCAGUAGCUGAAGAGGUAAAUUACAGAGAGCCUAAGUCCUAUAAAGAAGCAAUUCGGUGCUCUGAAAGCAAGCAAUGGAUCAAAGUUAUGAAGGCGGAAAUAGAGUCUUUAUUGAAAAAUAAGACUUGGAUCCUGGUGGACAGACCCAAGAACCAGAAAUGUGUAACAUGUAGAUGGUUAUACAAGAAAAAGGUGGAGGUUCAUAAUGGUGCAGAGGUAAUCAGGUAUAAAGCCAGGUUAGUUGCUAGAGGUUUCUCUCAGCAAGAAGGUAUAGAUUUUAAUGAAAUCUUUUCUCCUGUUGUCAAACACUGUUCUAUUAGACUUAUACUUGCUCUAACUGCACACCGAGAUUUAGAAUUGCAACAGAUGGAUGUUAAAACAGCUUUUCUAAAUGGUGAGUUAGAAGAAACUAUAUUCAUGAAUCAACCAGAGGGAUUUGAAGUAGCUGGCUGUGAAGGUCAGGUAUGUCUCUUGAAAAAGUCUUUGUAUGGACUGAAGCAAAGUCCAAGACAGUGGAAUAAAAGGUUUGAUGAAUUCAUGAUAAGUAUAGGUUUCAAGAGAACAUUGCAUGAUAGAUGUGUAUACUUGAAAGAAGUUGCUAAGUCUGUGGUUGUUUACUUACUCUUGUAUGUUGAUGAUAUGCUUAUUGCUAGUAGUUCUAGUACUGAAAUUGAUAAAGUAAAGCAAUCACUGAGUGCUGAAUUUGAUAUGAAAGAUCUAGGGACUGCUAGAAGAAUUCUUGGUAUGGAUAUCAAGAGAGAUAGGAAAAAUAUGAAACUUAUGCUUGUUCAAUCUGAUUACUUAGAAGAAAGUAAUUGUUAAAAUUCAAUAUGAAUGAAGCAAAAGUUGCUCAGGUCCCUAUAGCUCAACAUUUUAAACUAUCUAGUAGUCAAUGUCCUGUUACUAGUGAAGAGCUUAAAGAUAUGAGUGUUAUUCCUUAUGCAAAUGUGGUAGGAAGCAUCAUGUAUUCUAUGCUUUGUACUCGGCCUGAUUUGGCUCAUGCUGUUAGUCUUGUAAGUAGAUUUAUGGCAAAUCCAGGAAAACCACAUUGGCUUGCAUUAAAAGGAGUUUUAAGAUACCUUAAAGCUACUAUGAAUAAAGGAAUUGUAUUUCAAGGUGGAGCUACUGAUUUAAAUCAAGCUCUAGUUGGCUUUACUGAUUCUGAUUAUGCAGGAAGUAUAGAUACAAGGAAGUCCCAAUCUGGAUAUGUAUUUACACUUUAUGGAACAACAGUGAGCUGGAAAUCUAAUUUACAAUCUGUGGUAGCUCUUUCCACUACAGAAGCUGAAUUCAUGGCUGUUACAGAAGCAGUGAAAGAAGGUAUAUGGCUGAGAGGUAUGCUAUCUGAGUUAGGCAUUAAUCAACAGGUAGUCUCUAUUCUUUGUGAUAAUCAAAGUGCCAUUCACCUUGUUAAACAUCAAUCUUUUCAUGAGAGGUCUAAACAUAUAGAUGUUAGAUUUCAUUUUGUUAGGGAUUUAGUUGAAAAAGGUGAAGUUGUGAUAGAGAAAGUGUCAACUGAUGAUAAUGCUUCAGAUAUGCUUACCAAAUCUUUACCAACUGUUAUGUUCCAAAAGUGUUGUUCUUUGAUUGGUAUGAGCUCUCUUGAGGAGAGCAAGUUGUUUGUCUAAUCUAUGCAGGUACAUGCAGGUAGCUCGGUGUAUUCUAAUUGUAUUAGAUAAGGUGGAGAAUUGUGAGUAAAGUAUCUGCAUACAAUUAGUCUAUAGCUGAGGGGUCAGUUAGCAAAUAUGUAAGAGUUAAGGGAGUUCAGUUUUAGGUUGAUAAAAUUAGUUAAAACACUCUGGCCGAAUUCGCGGCUCUCGCCAGAGAAACGGCUUCCGCUCUGGCGCACUUGAUUCCUCUGGCGCACUUGAGUCCUCUGGACUUGAUUCCUCUGGAAUUGAUUCCUCUGGACUUGAUUCCUCUGGCGUUGUUUUCUCUGCCUUGAUUUCGCUGGCUUUGACUUUUCUCCCCUCUGACUUAGAAGCCAGCGCACAGCUCAACCGUUUCAGCUGCUAUUUCUUUUCUUUAAAUACCUAGGUUAGUUGUUGAGUUGUUGCUUAAGAAUUUCCAUUACUGUAAACUAGUUGAGAGUGAGGAUACAUAGCAAUCUUGAUAGAUUUGUAGGCUAUACACUUCUUCUAGUGUUGAGAGUUCUCAAUUGUAAUUGUAAAGUUCUUGAGUGUUCAUAGUGAAAUAGAGUGGAUCGUUUCUUCUCCGUGGAUGUAGGAUUGAAAAAUCCGAACCACGUAAAUCGCUUUCGUGUUCUUUUCUUUUAUGUUCUUGCUGCGUUGAUUGUCUUCCAAGCAAUUCCACAACAGUGCCGAUAUGAUAAUAAGACCAUAAUUUUCAGAAAUGGAUGAAGUAUGUUUCUGUGUAUUGUAGUUGGAAUUAGAGUUGAUAUUGAUUUUUUUUUUCUUUGUUGUAGUUGGAAUUAGAAUUGAUAUUGUAUUUUUUUUUCUUUGGUGUGCUAUAAGCUAUGCACACAACUUGCUAGAUACAAUGCCUCAUUGAAGGAUUACAAUUUUGAAUAGACACUGUAAUAGUUGUUGAUUUUAUGGAUGCCGAUUAGGUGUUCGACAGUAUGGCUCAAAAAGUUUGGGUGUAGAAUCCGCUUAAAAAAGAUUAAAACAACUAAUUCAGCAAGCAAUCAUAUGUUUGAGGUGGUCUCCUGUACAUCCGAGUGUAAAUGACACUAAUACUAACACUAUCUUGGAAUGACACUAACAUUAUUUUGUUUUACAAAUAACACUAUCAUGUUACAUAAAUAACACUAUCUCAAAAUGACAUUAAUAUUAUAUUGAAAUGACACUAACACUAAAUGAAACUAUCAUUAUAUCAAAAUGACAUUAAUACACUGGGUGUACAGGAGAUUUUGUGUAUAUGUUUUCACCUAAAAGAAACUAAUCAAAGAUGAAAGAUUUCCAAUUAUAAAAAGAGAAACAACAAAUCAAAUUUGGAAGGGAAACAUGUUCAAGUAACAAGAUACGAGAACACUUGAAUAGUUGAACUUAAUCACUUUAUAUAUGGAACAUUAAGAAGUACGGUGUUUGUGAGGAUUGCAUCAUCGUAUCACCAUCAUCUUCUUCUUCUGUAAUCCAAAAGAAGGGACAUAAACAAUAAUUACAUUAUUUUCAAAGUAAAUAAAUUCAUAUUUAUUUUAUCCAUUUUAAUAAAUCUAAUAGAUUUCAAGGUGUCAUCUUUCUAACAUAUGUGUGCUUUUCAAAAAGUUUUAAUGGUUGAAACAACAUCAUUUGAGUCACAUUAAUCUAAAAAGAAUAUAAAAUACAUUGUGACAAUCCAGUGAGUCAGGUCAAAUUUUCGGAGCUAGAAUAUGAAUAUGUGAUAUAUUUUUAAUAAUUCAUGAUAUAAUUAAUAAUGUAAAAAUAAUUUAAAAUUUAAAAUAAUAUUUAUCCUAUUAAAUUUAUAAAUUAUUUGAAAUAAGCUUAGUCAAGACUCUCUGAGUCCAAACCGUGAAUCCCAAAAAUUUAAUCUCACAAUUUUCUACAUGGAGUCAAUUGUUGGCCUUAUGAUAAAAAAUAAGUUGAAUGAGACAUUUUGGUAACCUAAAUUAUGGUUUUUAACGCAAAAGCUUAUUGAUUGACGUGCGUGUAGCAAUUUCGGCCUUUUAACUUGCCAAUGAAACACAAUAGAGCCCAAAAAUGAGGAAACCCACUGUUGAGUAUGUAUUUAUAUUUGAACAUUUUUUUGGGCCAAUAUGCAACACAACUAACAUCAAAUUUUAUAUUGUACGUAGGUCAAACAUGAGACCCUCACUCAGCUUAAAUCAACUCAUAAAUUAAUUUGAACAUACUUAAUAAAUUAAGUUUGAAUUUGAUUGGGUAGUAAAUAAGUCAAACUCAUUUUAUUUUAAGAGUAAAAUUUUGAAGUAGCCAAAAUGAAGCAUAAAACACAAUUUAUGGCCACACAUUGAAAAAACACAAAUUUUGGCCAUUUUUAUUGAUUUGGACGUUUUUAACAUUAAUGAGGCGGACCAGGUAGGAUCAGGCACGCGGGUCGCGUGCCGGGUCGGGUUAGGCACUUAUGGCACUAUUAGUGCCAUAAGUGCCAAGAUUUUACUUUGGUUUUAUUUUGGAUUUCCGUUGGAUUAGUGUCAUAAGUGCCAACGAUUAGUGCUAUAAGUGCCAACGGAAAUCCAAAAUAAAAUCAAGUAAAAUAAUCAUUUUGGGCACUUAUGGCACUAAUAGUGCCAUAAGUGCCAUACGUGCAGUACAAAUACAUAAACAACAUCAUUUAAACCCUAAAUGGAACAUCUAAACCCUAAAUGGACAAUCUAGGACCCUAAAUGAAACAUCUAAACCUCAAAUGGAUAAUCUAAACCCUAAAUGGAAUAUCUAAACCCUAGGGGGAAGUGUGCACUUAUGGCACUAAUAGUGCCAUAAGUGCCAUACGUGCAGCACACAGAUCAGAUCAGAUCUGCCAUGGCUGAAAUCGAAGGAGGCGGAGAUCAGAUCUGCCGAUGGAGGAGGCGGCGCAACGAUCAGAUCAGAUCCACCGCCGCCGCCUCAUCCUCUACUCCGACGAAUUCUGCCCAGGCGACGCGCUGGAGAGAGAGAGGGAGAUGAGAAAGAGAGAGGAGAGAGCGGCAGCCGCUGGAGAGAGAGGGAGGAUCUCCUCCACCACCGCCGCGAGAGCUCCGACGAAUUCUCCAAGCUCGGCGCCGCUGCCGCGCAGCCGCUGGAGAAGAGAGGGAGAUGAGAGAGAGAGGGAGAUGAGAAAGAGAGAGGAGCCGCUGGAGCAGAGAGAGGGAGAUGAGAAAGAGAGGGGAGAUAGAGAAGGGUAGAAUAGUCAUGACAUACAAAAAAUGGCCAAAAUUUAUGUUUUCAAAUGGUGGACAAAAUUUGAUGUUGUAUGUUGAAUANNNNNNNNNNNNNNNNNNNNNNNNNNNNNNNNNNNNNNNNNNNNNNNNNNNNNNNNNNNNNNNNNNNNNNNNNNNNNNNNNNNNNNNNNNNNNNNNNNNNNNNNNNNNNNNNNNNNNNNNNNNNNNNNNNNNNNNNNNNNNNNNNNNNNNNNNNNNNNNNNNNNNNNNNNNNNNNNNNNNNNNNNNNNNNNNNNNNNNNNNNNNNNNNNNNNNNNNNNNNNNNNNNNNNNNNNNNNNNNNNNNNNNNNNNNNNNNNNNNNNNNNNNNNNNNNNNNNNNNNNNNNNNNNNNNNNNNNNNNNNNNNNNNNNNNNNNNNNNNNNNNNNNNNNNNNNNNNNNNNNNNNNNNNNNNNNNNNNNNNNNNNNNNNNNNNNNNNNNNNNNNNNNNNNNNNNNNNNNNNNNNNNNNNNNNNNNNNNNNNNNNNNNNNNNNNNNNNNNNNNNNNNNNNNNNNNNNNNNNNNNNNNNNNNNNNNNNNNNNNNNNNNNNNNNNNNNNNNNNNNNNNNNNNNNNNNNNNNNNNNNNNNNNNNNNNNNNNNNNNNNNNNNNNNNNNNNNNNNNNNNNNNNNNNNNNNNNNNNNNNNNNNNNNNNNNNNNNNNNNNNNNNNNNNNNNNNNNNNNNNNNNNNNNNNNNNNNNNNNNNNNNNNNNNNNNNNNNNNNNNNNNNNNNNNNNNNNNNNNNNNNNNNNNNNNNNNNNNNNNNNNNNNNNNNNNNNNNNNNNNNNNNNNNNNNNNNNNNNNNNNNNNNNNNNNNNNNNNNNNNNNNNNNNNNNNNNNNNNNNNNNNNNNNNNNNNNNNNNNNNNNNNNNNNNNNNNNNNNNNNNNNNNNNNNNNNNNNNNNNNNNNNNNNNNNNNNNNNNNNNNNNNNNNNNNNNNNNNNNNNNNNNNNNNNNNNNNNNNNNNNNNNNNNNNNNNNNNNNNNNNNNNNNNNNNNNNNNNNNNNNNNNNNNNNNNNNNNNNNNNNNNNNNNNNNNNNNNNNNNNNNNNNNNNNNNNNNNNNNNNNNNNNNNNNNNNNNNNNNNNNNNNNNNNNNNNNNNNNNNNNNNNNNNNNNNNNNNNNNNNNNNNNNNNNNNNNNNNNNNNNNNNNNNNNNNNNNNNNNNNNNNNNNNNNNNNNNNNNNNNNNNNNNNNNNNNNNNNNNNNNNNNNNNNNNNNNNNNNNNNNNNNNNNNNNNNNNNNNNNNNNNNNNNNNNNNNNNNNNNNNNNNNNNNNNNNNNNNNNNNNNNNNNNNNNNNNNNNNNNNNNNNNNNNNNNNNNNNNNNNNNNNNNNNNNNNNNNNNNNNNNNNNNNNNNNNNNNNNNNNNNNNNNNNNNNNNNNNNNNNNNNNNNNNNNNNNNNNNNNNNNNNNNNNNNNNNNNNNNNNNNNNNNNNNNNNNNNNNNNNNNNNNNNNNNNNNNNNNNNNNNNNNNNNNNNNNNNNNNNNNNNNNNNNNNNNNNNNNNNNNNNNNNNNNNNNNNNNNNNNNNNNNNNNNNNNNNNNNNNNNNNNNNNNNNNNNNNNNNNNNNNNNNNNNNNNNNNNNNNNNNNNNNNNNNNNNNNNNNNNNNNNNNNNNNNNNNNNNNNNNNNNNNNNNNNNNNNNNNNNNNNNNNNNNNNNNNNNNNNNNNNNNNNNNNNNNNNNNNNNNNNNNNNNNNNNNNNNNNNNNNNNNNNNNNNNNNNNNNNNNNNNNNNNNNNNNNNNNNNNNNNNNNNNNNNNNNNNNNNNNNNNNNNNNNNNNNNNNNNNNNNNNNNNNNNNNNNNNNNNNNNNNNNNNNNNNNNNNNNNNNNNNNNNNNNNNNNNCAACAACGCCACCAGCUUCUUCACCGCCCCGCACAACAUCUCCUCCAACACCUUAACCUUUUAGGCUUAUUUUAUGAUAUUAAUUGUGUAUAUAUUUAUCUAUAUAAUAUAUAUUUAAAUUUUAUUUAUUUAUUUUUGAAUAAUUAUUAAAACUCUAGAUAAUAAUUAUGAUUUUAUUUUUGGUUAAUUUAAUAUUUGUAAAUUUAUUUUAAAAGAGAAAAAAGAAAGGAUCCGGGUCAGGACUCGAGACCCUGUGAAUCUAAUGGAUCUGGACCUGAAUCUCGUUUUUUUGGACCUAAUGGAUUUGGAUUGGAUCCUGACCUAAGUAAAAAAUACGGAUAUGGAUUUGGACCAAGCAGGAAUCGAUCCAGGUCCACAUCUGGAGUUGGUGAUGUUGUUGCAUGUCGGCGGUAAGCAGUCGACGAUCAAGAGAUUGAGCGCAUGCGAGCUGACAAAGUGUAAGUUGGAGCCGAUGAGUACGGGGGGCGGUUAAGUUGAUGCCGGAGGUGAGUUACUAAAAUUAUAAAAAAAAAAUUAAGGUGCAGAUCCACCCCUGAAGUAGAGGGUGCAAUUAAACCCAAACGUUAACGGACACUUAACGGCGUUAGGUCAGAGGGGGGAAUUUGCACCCUUUUCUCGGAGUUCAGGGGUUUAGUUGCACACACAGUGAGUAAGAGGGGUUAUACGCUAUAGGGGCUACUACUUCGGGGGCCAAUCUGCACAUUUUUCCUUAAAAUAAUACUAUAAUAAUAAUAUUAUCAACUUCAUGAGUAUAAUAUUAAAUUUAAUGAGUACUCCAUAAUAAUAAUAAUAAUAAUAAUAAUAAUAAUAAAAUUUAUAGAUUAUAAAGCAAAUAAUUUAAGUCAAUCUCAUUUUGAGCAAAUAACACUAGACGAUCAAUAUAACAAAAUUAGUAGCUGUCGUUUAAUAUAACAAUUGUGUGCUAUUAAAAGUUCAAAUUGUAUUAUUAAUAUUAAAAGUUCAUAUUUAAGUAGCCCCAAAACUAAUUAAAAUAAGAAAAAAUACGAAUAAUAUAAAAAGGAAAAUAUAACAACAAAUAUGUUUAUAUAAGUAAAUAAAUAAUUUGUACACACAAUUGAAUAAAUAUAUAUAAUAUUUUAAAUUCUAAUUUAAAGACAUAACUAAUUUUUUAUUUAUAAAUUCAUAUUAAAAUUAAUACAAAUUUCCUUCUCCUUAAUUUCAUUAAAAACUACUAUAAUUUAAAAGUAUUUGGCAUCUACAUAUUUUCACCAACAAACGAAAAUAAAAUGAAAAAGAGUAUGAUGUUCAACAUUAUAGAUAAAUGAGAGAGAACACAAAUUAAUUUUGACAUUUUAAACAAUCAUAACUUAUUCAUUUUAAAUUCAUUUUUUAAAAUUUCUACAUCAAAAAAAAAAGAAAAAAAAAAAGAUCUCAUAAUCUUUAAUUUAAUAUCCAUAUUGAAUAUUAUUCAUGAAUCAAAGUUAAUAAUUUUUUGGAAACAAUUGAAAUAAAAUAAAAAUGAGAGGAAAACGAAAAUUUAGAGAUCUUUUUUUUUUAUUUGAUAUGUGAUACAAAAAUUUAGAGAUAAAAACCUCAGAGUAUUUGAAUAUUACUCCAUAUAUAGAUUUGUGUAGUUGGUAUAUUUUACCCUAGUAGCAUGGCUAAAUUUCUUUAUUGAGGUAUGUAUGGGUUAAAAUUUGGCAAAAAUUUUGUUUUCGAAUGUACCGUGCAUUAUUCUUAAUUAAAUAUAGUUACGAGUUAUCAAUCUUCAAUUAAAAUUAUUAAUUUAUAUUUAAGUUUAUUAACAUUUAAUUCGGGAGCAUUUAUUUUUAAGGUUAAAUAGUAUAAGUUAAUUUAUUACUAACAAGAUAGAAUUAAACUUUGAAAUAUCUCAAGAUCUUUAAUAAUUUCUAUUAUUUAAACUAAUUUUGUUUGAUUUAUACAUAAUUUAAAUAAUAGAAUUGAAGAAAUCUUAAUAACGAAGAUAAAAAUUACUCAAUCAUAUAUUGUACAUAAAAGUACUCCACCGAUGAUCCCCUCGUUUUUUGGAAGGGGAAAUGUAGGAUCAAUGAAAAUUCUUGAUGACGCCCUUAAUGAAUUUGCAGGGCUUGAUGACUCAAAAUUAACAAGGAAAAGUCACAAGUGUUCAUUGGAGGUGUCUCAGAACCGGAUAAGCAAGAGAUCCUUGAUCUCUUUGAUUUUUCCCUUGACCAUCUUCCGAUCAAAUAUCUUGAGAUCCCCCUUGCAUAAAAAAAGCUACUUGUUAAUCAAUAUGAGCCAUUUAUUAAGAAAAAUUCCGAUUCGAUCAAUGAAUGGGAUUAACAUAAGCUUGUCUUUGGCAGGUAGACUUGAGCUAGCCAAAUCAGUCCUUCAAAGGAUUGAGUGUUAAUGGCUACAAAUUUUCUCACUUCCCUCAGGUAUCAUCGACCAGAUCAAUAGAAUGGUCUGCAAGUUUGUAUGGGGCACCUCUUCCAGCCCAGUGGCAUGGAAAAAAAUGUGUAGACCAAAAGAAGAAUGUGGCCUUGCACUAAGAGAUCUCACCAUCUGGAAUGAAGCAUUGUUGAUCAAGAACCUUUGGAACAUUCAAUCAAAAGUCGAGUCCCUUUGGAUUCAAUGAAUGUUGAAUAUAUUAAGGACCGCAAUUUCUGGCAAAUUUUGGAACAUCGGUGUGACUCACCACUUGUUAAGAAUCAUCAGAAAAUGAGGGACACUCUGUUGGCGAAACACAAUAAUGAAGAACAACAGGCCAUAGCCCGAUUAGAAUCAUGGGCAACCAACAACCUUAUUGCUGAAGCUUAUGAGUUCUUUCUCUCCAAAUGAGAAAAACUUUUCUGGCACAAAGUAAUCUGGAAGAGUUUCAUUCCACCGCGCUGCUCAAUAACUAUGCGGUUUGCCCUACAAGGAAGACUUAAAAUAAUGGACCGUAUCGAGGGAGUGUCUAAACUGUCUUCCAUUUCUAAUAUGCACAAUGAAACACAUGACCACUUGAUUUUUAAAUGUGCAGGAACCAAAAAAGUAUGGGAUCUCAUCCGUGAAUGGCUAAAGCUUAGGCAACAAAUGAGCACGAUCCCUAGUGUUAUCAAACACCUCACAGCUAAAAAACAAGGAUUCGCAAUAAUCCAAAAAGCUAAGCCGGUGGCAUUAGCUAUCACAGUCAAUCACUUUUGGUUUGCCCGCAACCAAGUCAUCUUUGAGGACGAACCCUUUCGAUGUCAGAAUGAUUAUCAAGAACAUCCAGAGUGAUACUUAUAGAUGCCUCAACGAAAUCUUUCAUCUGGAAGAAGUACGAGCUCAUAUGGAACUUAACGCUCUCGUAGCAAAUACAAGGGAGCAUAACCCGAUGGCAUUAUUAGCUCCUGUCCAAUUAGACUGGCACUUGGCCUUCGACCAGGGCUUGACGAGCAAUGUCCAAAUAUCCAUGCACCCUAGAUCGGCUCUCGGCUUGGAAAAUAGGGGAUAAGUAUAAACUAGACUUUGUGUCUUGUUUAUACCUAUUGCACCUAGCGCAUUUGAACAAACAAUACCACGAAAGCACAUAAUCACUGUUAUUAUCAACUUGUAAUAAAAUCUUUUGCAAAGACUCUUUUUAUUUUUCUUAAAGACUCAUGACUUUGAGUCCCUCUCACCCCUGCCCCCAAUUCAUUGGAUUGUAGCAGUUGUCUCCCCACUUGAGUAUGCCCAAGAAGAUAGUUUGUAAUUUAUUUGUUUGAUUUACUUUUCCUUUAUUUUAAUAAACGUAUUUUUCAUCAAAAACAAAAAGUACCCCAUUUUUUGUAGACAGAGGGAGUAUCAAUUAUGAAAAAGUAAAAUCCCUCAAAAUAUCAUAUUAUAAUUUUAAAUCAUUUUAUAAUUUUAAAAAUAUUUUUACAUGUAAGUGCUCCAUUUUUUAUGGACGGAGGAAAUAUCAAUUAUGAAAAAAUAAAAUUCCCCAAAUUAUAUCAUAUCAUAGCAUAAUUUUUUAAUUAAUGAAAAUAUUUUAUAAUAGAGAAAAUUAUUUAGAAGAAUAAAAUUAGAUUAGGUGAGGGGUGAGAAUAUGAUAAAACUUAAAAGGCACAGCUUGACACAAGGUAAGCGUAAAAUCAAAAAGAAAAGACAAGUAUAAAGAAGAAAAAUUGAAUAAAUAAUUGAUAUUUGUCGAUAGCGAGAAGUGGCAAGCAUAGUCUAGAAACACCAAAUGGAAGAAAAUGCAGCAGAGCAAACAAAAAAUGAAAAUAAAUAAAUAAAUAAUAGUAGCAUGGAUUAGGAUUAUUUAAGAGCAUGGGGAUUAGGUAGUGUUUGUGUGGGCCCAAUCAUUUUCAAAUUUUGCUGUCUCCACCUUUUCUCCCCAAUUGACGGGGCCACUCUCUCAUUUUCAAAUUAGAUAGUCUAUCUACAUUUGAUGUUUCUUUAUAUACAAAAUACAUAUUACUACUAUAUUAUAAAAUUAAAUAUAUAGUAAAAUCAAAUAAUUAAAUAACUUACAUUUAAUAAUCAAAAUAAUUAAAUUAAAUAAUUAAAUAUAUAAAAAUUACAACCCACACGAUACAAAAUAAUUCUCUAUAUAUAAAACCAUAAACCUUUAUCAUAAUUUAACUUUUCCAUGAAACUUAAUUAGAUCGUAGUACCAAUAAAAAGAAUUUUCAUUUGUUGUAUGUUUUCAUUUGAAACAAAUUCAAGCCUACGUAGCACAUGAAAGUGUCGACAUAAUUCAUCGAUAUAUAAUGUGGAAGUACAUGUGUAACUUAAAAUACACUUAUUUGUCUAAAAACACAUGAAAAAUCACACCAUCUCGCGAAGAGAGAGAGAGGGAUUUUUAAGCUGGUUAGGCCGUUAGGGCAAACUAAAUUGAUUUCUUAAUUAUAUUUUGUAAAAUAUAAUUAUACUUUUAUUAAUUACAAUUUCAAUAAAAAUAAUUGCAACUUGAAAAAUUAUUCAUUUCAAAUCCCAUCAAUAAACAUUUACAUUUAUAAUGAAGUAACCAUUUUGUUUAAUUUCCACUGUUUAAUAUUCCCUCCGUCCCAAUUAUAUAAACUGAUUGAAAUUUGCAUAAGGAUUAAGAAAGUAUUGAAAAAGAAAAUUAACAAACAAGCUCUUUAUUAUUCCCAUAUUUAUUUUUUGAUAAUAAAUUAAUGUUAGAGUCAAUCAAACAAUUAAAGAGUGAUAUGUCAGUAAAUGAAUUUUAUAAAAUAUUAGUAUUUUUUAUAAAAGUCAAUUUAUGUAUUCGAGAUAUUUGAAAAAAUAAAAUAAGCAUACAUAAUUGAAAGGAAGGGAGUAAGUUUUUAAAAUAUUUGUAGCUACUUUAUGUGGACGACAGUUUAGAUUUCCUAACCGUUAAUUAUAAAUUUAUAAUCCCCCACCAAAAUGGGAAUAUUAACAAUUUAUCUUACAUCACUAAAAUUCGGUAAAUUAAACACAUCUAUACUAUAUUAAAACAGCAGUUUUCAAUUAGGAAUUGAUUUCAAAUUGAUUUGAAUGGCAAUUUUGUAAAUAUUGAAAAAAUGAAUGGCUAAUUGAAAAUUUAUGUAUAUUUAUAAGAACAUGGUUUUGACCAUUUCUUUCAAUUUUAGUUCCAAAAGACGUGGGUCUUUUUAAUCCGGAAAUUAUGCUUAAAAAAAAACAGCAAAUCAUGUGCAUAAUUCCAUUUCUCAUGCAAAUGAUGCAAUUAUAUCUAAAAGUGUUUCGAGUUUUUUUAUUCAACUACAACAAUAUGUUAAUACAUGUAGUUUCACUUAUAUCUACCACAAAUAUUUUUUUUUUCCUUAUCUUUACCCUCUAACAAAGCUUAUUUUUCCUCAAUCUUUUUUAUAGUUUUUUAAUCUCUUCAUUUUUUAUUUCUUUUUUUCAUUUUUGUUUUCUUUUUCCAAAAAUAGUUUAUCUUUAAUAUGAUAAAAUAUUUAAUAUGUAAUAUCAAUUUAAAAAUCAUGAUACAUGCUUUAGUUUGAUAUGUACUCCUUCCGUCCUUUAAAAGUGUAUAAAUAUCACUUUUGGUAGCACAUAUUUUAAUAAAUAUUACGUGAGUUUGUUGUAUGAAAAAAUUAAAUCUGACCUCAAUAUAUAUAUAUAUAUAUAUAUAUAUAUAUUAUAGAAAUAUAGUUCUAACAAUAACUUUUUCCAUAAAUUUAUCUUUUCUUAUUCUUUUCUAAAAAAUUGUCAAAUUUAAUUUAUGAAAAAAAUAUUUAGUAUUCAUCUUAACUUAAAAACCAUGUUAAGAUCUUUAAUUUGGUAUAACAAUUAUAAAUACAUAAAUUUUAGAAUGAAUAUUCAUCUACAAAAUUAUAUUAAUUUUAAAAGUAUAAUUUGUAUUAAUUUUAAUAUAAAUUUUUAGAUGAAUACUUAGUUAUAUAUCUAACAAUAGAAUUUCUUAUAUGAUUUAAAUUUAUUUAAUUUGUGGUAAUGUUUAUGUACGAAUAAUAUAUUUAUUUAUAUAGACAUAUCUGAUAUUUAUAUAGAUUAAAAAUGAAACUUUAAAUAUGGUUUACAUUUAUUUAGUUUUAAUUUUUCAAAUUCUUCACUACAUGUUAAAUUUUAAUAUAAAACUGAAAUAAUUAUAUGAUAUAAUAACUAUUUUACUUUUAGUUAGAUGCAAAAUUUACUGACUAUUGUAAUAUGCAACAAUUGAUUUGUACAUAAAAAAAAUCUUAAAUUGAGUUACGGUUAUCGUAAUUCUAUUUUUUUCAUUAUAAUGUAAUUAUUAUUUUACAGUACUUAUUAAAUUUAAUAUUAUACUCAUUGAGUUGAUAAUAUUGUUAUUAUAGACUACUUCGAUUAAAAUAAUAUAGUUAACAAAAAUUAUUUUUUGUUGUCAAUUAAACUAAUUAUAAAAUAUUUAAUAUGUAUAUCAAAUUAAAGAUCACGAUAAGAGAUUUAAUUUGAUAUAUUUUAUGUAAUUAUCCGAUUUAAAAUGUAAAAGAUAUAUUUAUUGAAAGAUUAGAAUUAAAAAAAAUUCUCUCUCAUCUCUCAUCUUUUUUUGAAUAAAUUUAUUUUUUCAAAAAUUUUAUUUUCGUUUUAAAUAUUUUUUUUGCUUUUUCGUCAUAUCAAUUUUUAUUAUUGUGAAGUAUUCUUUACUUUGUUAUUUUUUUAAUAUUAAGCUCAAAUAUAUUUAGUUAAAAUUAAUUUUAUUAUAUUUAUAAAUAUGAUAAUUGAAUUGGUAUCAAUUAUAUAUAAAUAUAAAAAUAUAAAAACGUUUCCCGUGCGAUGCACGGGGUGCAAAUACUAGUUACUUAUUAAAUCAUCAAAGAUAUGAGACUUUUCAAUGGUGAGUCUUAAUAUUGGUCUUUUAGAUUGGGACGGUAUUUUAAUAUUAAUGAUUUGCUUGAUUUGAUUUCUUGGAGAUAUGAAACUGUAAUUGUAGGUUUAAAAUUUUGGCUCACAAGAACGAUUCUAUCAAUUGGAUUAACCCUUCGAAUGGGCACUUCUCAACUCGUUUAAUGUACGUUGCUUUGCUAACUGAUGCUUUGGUUUCUACUAAUGCUUCUUCCCUUUCAAAGGUGUGCUAGAAAGCAAUUUCAAUUAAAGUGUCUGAAGUUGCUUCAAGAUAGAAUUCCUACUUAACUCAGAAAGUCCCGAAACUACGUCUCAUUGAUGAUUGAGUGCUAAUUUGCAGCACAAAUUUGGGCACUGAUGAGGAUGUGGUUAAGUUGCUCUCAAAAUUCCCCAAUUAACUGUUGUAACCACUUUGAGACUACUUUCAUUCUGGAAGGCCGAGGAAAGCAGGAAACAAAGAUAUUUAAUUUAAUCGGGCAAUACAUUAUAUACAUGAAGAAUAUGAAAGAUGAGAAAUGGUUUCAUUUUUAAUGGAAUUGAUUCGGUUAUCACUAAGACUGUGGAAUUCGUGAAGGUUACUUCCUGGAAAUGGCUACGUGCUCAUUUUGCUACUCCGUUAGCGAUUGCUGCUUAUGUUCAAGAGAUUGUAUUUCUUCUAAAUUGUAAUUAUAUUUUAUUUGAUUGUGAGCUUGUACUGUGUAAGGAUUGAGUACCCUUUAUACUCUUUAUUUAUACUCCCUCCGUCCAUGAAAGAACUUCCUAGGAGGGAGUGGCACGAGUUUUAAGAAAAAAUAUUAUUGAGUCUGUUGAGAGUGGAUAAAAGGUAGUUGAGUGUAUUGGGAGUGGUGAAAAUGUGUUAUAAUUAAUAUUGAGAGUUGUGAAAAGUGAAAAGCAAGAGGAUUAUAAGUGGUGGGUAUAGUCCAAAAAUAGGUAGGAAGUGCUUUUGUAGAAGUCCCAAAAAGAAAAGAUAAGAAGUUCUUUCGUGGACGGAGGGAAUAUAUUUUAUCUAUAUUAAUUUCUCAAAAAAAUAAAAUAAAAAAAAUCAUCAAAACCCAAAGGAGCCACGCAACGCCUAUAGUUUUCAACAUUUGUGCGGCGGUUGCCCGAGACAUGCUGCAUGACUCAACCAAAGAGGAAAAUACAAUAAUUUAAAGUUAAGUCAAGUAAUUUUGUGUUUAAUAAUAAAUCUCAAAGGCAAAGUUUGACUUAAUCCAUAUUUAAGUUUUUUUAUUUUCCUAUACAUAUUUGAGUACUACUUUUUAUUUUCUUUAUCUUUCUAUGGAAAGAACAAUUAUUGUCGAAAAAGAGAGUGAACUGAAAGUCUGAAAGUGAUAAUAAUGGAAAGUUGUCGACAAACUUUUGUUUUAGGUUUUUAUUUGAGCGGGCGAAUUAAAAAGGUGCAAAAACUUAUUAAAUUUACAAAAUAUAUAUACAAAAUAUUUAUGUUUGGAUCCUAGAUCGAAUUAUUUAAAAUAUAUAUAUAUUAUAUAUAUAAGAAUAUAAUGUAAAAAUAUAUGUUUCAUAUUUGAUGUAGUGUAAAUUCAUGCAAGUCAAAUGGGAUUAAGAGAGUAUUAAUUUACAAAUAUAUAACAAAUAUAUACGUAUGGAUCCUUGAUCUUGAGAGGAAAAUGAUGAAAAAUCAUUUCUUCGUAUAUGGUGCUUAAAGCAACUCCAUGCUGUAAUAUUUGCAGAAAGUGGUUAAAAAAUGUUAUUUCCUUUAUUAAUUCAUUUAACUAUAUAUUUCAAUUUUUGUGUUAAUAAUGCAUAUGUACCGACUACGAACAUAUAUGUAGUCAUGAUACAUUGGAGAAUACUACAUUUUUUUUAACACUUAAUAUAAAAGAGAAAGAAAAAUGUUUGCUCUAGUCAAUUCAAAAUCAUUUUCAGAGUGUAGGGCAAAAAUAUUCGAAAUAUUGUUGAUAUAAAAUAGCAAUAUUAAUAUAAAGGGAAUGUAGAUCGGAUUGAACCAAAUCUGAGUUGGAUUGCUUAGUCACAAAUUCCAGGUAUUGAUAGUUUGUAACAUGGAAUGGCAUCAUUAAUGUACUACACUAUGCUUGUUUUAUACAUUGGGAUAAAUUCUACAGGGGAUCCCCCCACAAUGCAUCUCAUUUAAAUUACUUCAUACUGUGUUUUAAAAUAUAAUAUGUUAUUUAGUACGAUGUAUUAAGAUUAUAUAAAAUUAAUAAUAGUUAUAAUUAAGAUUUGUAUUACGUAUACCACCUACGGAGAUGGUAUACAGAAUCCCUCAAAUUAGUAUAACAUUUUCGGGCUUUUAAUUUAUAAAGGAUCGUGUGUUUCGUAUUACAUCUUACCAAACAAGAUAUUAGGAUGUCAUAGGUAUAUUAUACACCCUAAUCACCUGUACCAAAUGAGACCUAGAGAGGUUCUACAAGUUAGUAAUAAAUUACUUUGAGAGUAUAAACUAGGAACAAAUUUACACUAUUGAUAAACCCAUAAUUUAACGAUUGAGAUUUAAUCAUUAGACAGUUGUAGUGCAAAUAUCUAAAUUUUAUGUAGAAUACAUUUGAAUUCGUUGUGUAAAUGUAUUCGAAAAUUAAAGUUUUCGCUCCCUAUGAGAUUAGAACUCAGAACUUGAAUUCAUCUAAUUGUAGAUCCAAAAGCUGAAAAUGGUUCAUAUUUUAUAUUAGAAGGAGUUUUUAUUUUAACACACACACACACACAUACACACACACACAUAUAUAUAUAUAUAUAUAGAGAGAGAGAGAGAAGGGUUCAACAGAGAAGCUAAAUAUUGUGGAGAAUAGAGAAUUCGUAAAAUAAAAACGAACAGAUCUAUAAUUUUAAUGAACAGAUCAAUGUACCGCAUGAACAACAAUUUGCCCCGGGUUCGAAUCCUGCUGGUGGCGAGUUUUUCUAUAUUUUACUAAAUACGUCUGUUCAUUAGUUAUGUUGAACUGUUCGUAAAAUAUAUAGAUUUGUUCAUGAUGAAUAAAAAAAUAAUUCUCUGUUGAACUCAACCCUAUAUAUAUAUAUAGGGGGCCGCUCCAAUGAGACCCCCUAAUUUUAGUGAGAUAUAGGACACGAUCUGGUGCGUUUAUUUUAUCAAUCCUAUGGCUGAUAUUGUAUCUGGAGGGUGAUUUUUUUUCGCAGGGUUCGAAUCCUGGAGGGAGCAGAAUAUUUUAAAUUUUGUUAUUCAUCAUAUAUACUGCAUUUUCAUCAGUAUAUACGGCCCUGUUCAUAGUAUAUAUGUCUUAUUCAUUACGAAUUUUUUAAAUUUUAUUUUUCAACAGUAUAUAUACAUCUUGUUCAUUAGAUGUACGUUUUGUUCAUUAGUAUUAUUUGUCUUAUUCAUUGUACUCAUGUUACACGAAAAAUAGGGGGUCUCACUGGAGCGCGCCCCUAUAUAUAUAACCCUUUAUAUAGGGAGAAGUUCUAUUGAGAAGCUCAAAUGUGUUGAGAAACACAGAAGCAAUCUAAAUAUAUGUGAACAAGUUAGUAUAUUUUGAUGAACAUGCCAAUUAAUUUUUAUGAACGUGCGUUUGGUCUGGGGUUCGAUCCCUGGCGGUGACGUAUUUUUUUAACAAAUUAAAUAGAUUCAUAUGUUCAUCAGUUAUAUUGAUAUGUUCAUUAAUCUCAUUUCCAGCUUCUCAAUAGAACCUAACCCUAAUCAUUAAUAUACUACUUACUCUAGUCCAUCCAACAUAGCAAUAAAAGUUACCAUGCAAGUAAAUGAUCAUUUCCAAUAAUUCAGAUAAGUCCAUCUAUAUAACAUAUAAAUUAGAAAUAAUUUUCAGCCUUUACAUUAUGAAUAUUACAACGAAUUCAUUAUUUUGCUAAAUAGUUUCACCAUAAUUCAUGAUAUUCGUAGCUAAUUCGUAGUAUUUCAUCAAGAUAUAUUUUAUAUAAUAAAUUUAGUGUACAAUAACUCAACCAUAUAUAUUGAGGGAACAAACAUGUCUAUCCAAUAUAGAUGACAAGCAAGUGGGUACCUACUAAUAAUUCACACACUAAAUCUCAAGGAUGUUGCCAAUUCAUGAUAAGAAUGAUUGAAAAGGGUUUAAUAAACAAUAAAAUAGUGAAAUCUCAGCUAUGUAUGUAUGUCGAGAGAGAGAAAGAGGAAGCAAGGUAAAUGCAUUGAACCCAAAAGAAGACAGCUUCGAAUGGGGCAUAGGGUGCCUUAAAGAGGCUGAAAUAUGUGGGAUCUCCAAAUUGUGUACUUCACUAACCCUUUUAUAUAACGCCACUUUUGUUAUUCCUUUCAACUCAAUACUCUCAUUGACUUCCUUUUGACCCUAUUUCAUUGCUCGUUUCUUUUGAGCAUAUGCAUGCACAAGGAGGAGCUACGAACUAUGUCUCACCCUACCCCACUCCCACCCACCCCACCACCUUCAUUCCUAGUAGGACUUCUUCUUCGUAUUUCUAAAAUAAUAAUUUAUACUUGUGAUGGGUUCAGGCAGUAAAUUAACAUUAUUAGUGGGGCUUGAAUUUGCUAACUUUUUUUUAAUUUAAAAAUUCAAUAAGCCAGAAUUCUGGGAUUCGGUUUGGUACACGAAUUACACAAUGAUAGAGAAUAUUGUUAAUUAUGCAGAUAACUUUUUUUUUGGACCGCGGUACUCUUUUGAGGUACGAGUAUCUUCAUGAGUAUCAAGAUAUGGUGAUUAUUGUGUGUGUUGGUCAAACGGUAAGAGGUUAAUGUUCAAAAUUAAAGGUUUUGGGUUCGAGUCUCCUAUGGCGCGAUCUUUAAAUUUAUUUAUUUAAUACUGUUAAUUUAUCAAAGAAAGAUAUGAUGAUUGUUAUUUAUGACAAUUUCUUUAUUUAUACUUCAUAAGAAAGCUAGAAGAUCAAAGAAAUAUGUUAUCAUCCUUGAUGUAGAUUGCGCUGAGAUAUUAAUUAUCAAACAUGAUAUGAAAAUCUACUCAAUAAGAAAAUUUUAUUUACAGAUUAAGAAAAUUCUUAUGCAAGUCGAAGAUCUAUUUCAACAAAGAAACUAUCUUUCUUGGAUUGCCAGAGAAGAUUUAGGGAUUGCUUACUAUAUAAAAAGACCCACUUUAAUUCGUUCAGAAAGGUGGGAGAGUUCAUGCUGAAUUGAUUUUAUUUGGCACAAUGUAGUCUCAAGUGUUCCUUAUUCCUAUUGGGUGUCAUCUGAGAUGUGCAGGUGUUAUCUUGGUACUAGUUCCAGUACGAGUUCUAGUAAUAAAUUCUUAUUCAAUAUCAAUUUUACACAACUUAGUGCGUGUUGUUAUAUCAAGAGUAUGAGAUUGCAACUAAAUUUUAAUAUUUGUGGAUUAUAGACUUAAUGGUAGUACUCAAAUGUUGCAUUUAAGAAAAUAUUUCUAAAUGGGCAUUUACUUUGCAGAUUAAGUAUUUUUAUCCUUAAAUUGUGAUAUCUCCAAUCCCACCCUUUUUAUGGGAUAAGAAUCAAGAAAACUACUCAAAUGAUAAAAAUAAUCAAGGACCUUGGAUAUCUCAAAGUUUGAUCAAUCCAUCAAAGUAAAAAAGAAUUAGCCUUAUUAUUUUUAUCUAUCAAGGCUAAUCCUUCAAAAUAAACACCCCUUAAAUAUAUAAUAUUAUGUCUCUAUUUCUCUUUUUUACUGAAUUAUUGAUAAUCUGAUUUUUUUUACUUAUAAAUUAUGCUUAAUAUUUAUAUUUAUUCACAUAAUUAAAAUGUCAUUUAAUUAAUUUUAUGAUUGGGGUGCAUGACUAAGGGUGUAAUAGAACCGGUCGAACCAAUAGUGAGUGUUAAAUUUGGUUUGUUAAGUAUCGAAUCGAAUUCCGAACUUUUUUUGUCAAAUACUUUGAGGCUCACGAACUUAAUCGAGCAUACAUGAAAUUUUUAAAUUCAUAUUUAUAUUCAAAAUAUUGAUUAUUUUCUUUUCAAAAUAAAUUAUUUCAUUCAAAAUAAUAAAUAUAUUAAUUAAUUUCUUAUAACAAACAAAGUUUAUUGAAAAUUUAAUACGAUUAUUAUUAUUUUUAGUAGAUAAAUAUAAGUUGUACCUACUAAUAAUUUAUACUCCCUCCGUCUACGAAAUGGGUACCCAUUUCGGGACGGCACAAGUUUUAAGAAAUGUAUUGAGUGUGAUGUGAGUGAAAUAAGGGUUCCACUUUUUUAGAGUAUUAAUUAAAGAGUUGUGUGGGGUACACUUGCCAAAAGGGGAAAUGAGUGCUCAUUUCGUGGACGGACUAAAAAGGAAAUAUGAGUACUCAUUUCGUGGACGGAGGGAGUAUUUUUCAAGGUGAAUAACUUAACGAACGUGUUCACGAGCUAACGAGCCGAGUACUAUGAAGCUCAAAUUUGGUUUGUUUAUUUAUCGAACUUUUCUAAACGAAUUUGAACGAACUUUUUUCAUGUCGAGCUCCGAAUAGUUCGUGAGUGUCUUGGUUUGUUUAUAGCACUAUGCAUCACACAUGAAAAUGUACUAGUUAAGAUAAAAGGCUUGUUACGUUAAAAAAAAAAAAAAAAAAUAAAUAAAAAUAAAAAUAAAGAAGAAGAAGAAGAAGAAGAUAAAAUGUUAGGUAGCAGACACAGUAUUCUUCUUCUAACCUUCUUUAUGAAAUGGAGAAAUAACACUUGACAUCUUGUUAUAAUAUAACAUUAAUUAAUAUUGAAAAACGAAAAUAUGUUUUAAGUCGGGGUGGAUCUUUGAUAAAAUAUGAAGGUUAUAGAAUUGAGUUAUAAUUGUAAAUUAUGUAUAUGAAAGAGGAAGAAAUUAAUUUUUUUAUUGAAAAAUUGAAUUGAUAUGGAUUAUUAGUAAGCAGACUAAGAUUCCUCUACCCCUUGAUGGCUCCACAGCUAUUUUGACAAUCAAUCUCUUGAUUUCGAACCACAUGCUUAUUAACUAUGUAUCUACCCUGAACACUAAGGGUGCGUUUUAUUUGGUUGUAAAUUUAUCAUGAAAAAAUUAGGGAUAAUCAAAAUUUCACCCUUUAAAUCAUUCCCUAUUUUACCCAUACUCAUUUCUCAUUUACACUACAAAGGAGGGCUAAUAUUAUCCCUCCAAAAAUGGUGUGAUAAUAUUAUUCUUCCUUUAUAGUGUAAAUGAGGAAUGAGUAGGGGUCAAGUAGGAAAUGUGAGAAAAGAAAGAAAUGAAUUAAAUGAUGAAAUUUUGUUUAUCCUUCCUCUUUUUCAUGAUAAAUUUACAACAAAAAAGAACACACCGUAAUUAAAUUCUGAACCUUUUAUAGUCUAUGGACAAAUCAAUAUGUACGUAAGGAGUAAGUGAGGUGUUGGAAUUCAAAUAAGCACAUAGGCAUAGAAAUAUGUGUAUUUUGCGUGUGUGUAGUGAGGCGAAGAUGCAUGGGGACAGAUCACCCUUUGGCUUUGAUGGUUACUAUUAUGGGCAAGUUCAAGCAUCCAAUAUAUUUUGUCCGUCUAUCAAGCUGUAAUACAUUGUGGAAGUAGUUGGGCUGUCAAAAUAGAUUUCACUAGUGUAUAAUCCGUCGAAAUUCGACGGGACUUUAAAUUUUGAUUUAAAUUAUUUAUAUUAUUUUUAAUUAAUUUAAUUUGAUGUAAUAGAGUUUACGUUAUAUUAAUUUCAACAAUAUUCUUCAAUUAAAUGUUCAUUUUUUGCUAGAAUAAUAAAAAUACUCUUUUAUAUAAAUUUUGUACAAUUUUUUUAUAUUGACGGAUAAAAAUUAAUUUAAGAUCUCAUAUGCCAUAUAAGCAUCAUCCCAUCUCAUCUCUAUAAGAUCAGAGGAUCAUCAGAAUUCAAAACCAAUAGUUUAACCUUUUGAACGCCAAACUUUUUGAGGAUUAUCUCGUCUGGAUCCUGAAACAAUAUAUCUGACUUUUAUGGUCAAUCGUUUGAACAUCACUAUUUAAUACUUUAAAUAUCAUAACUUACUUCUAAACAUUAUUUUCAAUAGGAGCUUGAAAGACCAGGACUGAUUUGUGAGAUUAUACAAUCUGAAGCUUAUAAUGUGAGAUUAUACAAUCUGAAGCUUAUAAGAUCAUAACUAACUUUUAAAUAUCAUCUUGUAUGGAGCUUGAAAAACCAUAACAUGAUUAUGUGCAUCAUCUCAUUUGGAGUUAAAAAUACCAUAACUAACUUCUAAACAUCAUCUUGUAUGGAGCUUGAAAAAACCAUAACAUAGUUAUGUGCAUCAUCUAUUUGGAGCUUAAAAAUAGAAUACUGAAUUUCAAGCAUAUUUACGUUUGGAGUUUGUAAAGAAUAAAACUGGCUAGUAAGCAUCGAUCUUGUUUGAAGUUUGAAAGACCAUAACUAAGUUUUGAGAAUCAUCUCGUCUAAGGCUUAAAAAAAUUGAUACGGAUUCAAAUUAAUAUUAUAUCAAUUUAUUUAGUAUUUCAAUUGUAAAUUUUCAUAAAAAAAUCAAUGUGGGAUGAGAAAUUUAGAUAAAUAGAAUUAAUAAAUACUGAUUUUUUUUUAUAGAAAUAGGAUAGAUAAAAAUGCAAAAAAUAUGGUGAUGCUACAUAGGAGUAUUCCAUUUUUUAAUUAUAUAUGUGAUGAUAUUAAUAUUAUUAUCGUCCCAAAACCCAUAUAUAUACAUACAUAUAUAUAUAUAUAUAUAUGUGUGUGUGUGUGUGUGUGUAGUAAUACAAAUUAAUUUCUUGAAUUUAUUAAAUUAUAAAAAUAUGUAUAUAAAUAAAUAAAAUAUAAAUCAAUAAUUGGUAAUAAUCUCGACAAAAUUUACACGAAUAAUCAUCUCGUUAGUUACUCCAAAAUAUCUCUAUCAUUAAAAACUUAUGGAUUGAAUGCAGUAUGCAAUAUACUCCCUCCGUCCCAUGAAGCAAGACCAAGUUCUUUUCGGCACGAGAAUUAAGAAAUUGGUAUUUUGUGUGUUAAGUGUGGUAGGUGAAAAAGUGAAAAGGUGAAUAAAGAGUAAAUUUUUUGCUACUUUUAGAAACUGGUCUUGCUUCGUGGGACAGACCAAAAAGGAAACUUGAUCUUGCUUCAUGGGACGGAGGGAGUAUAUUGUAAUUUUUUUCUUUUCAUUAUAUCUAAUUUUUAUUAUUGUAAUUUUUUUAUUUUUUCUAAUAUACAUUUCAAAUAUAUUAAGUUAAAACUAUUUUUAAUUAUAUUUAUAAAUAUAAUAAUUGAGUUGAUAUCAAUUUUAUAUAAAUAUAAAAGUUUAAAGUUUUCCAUGCAUUGCACGGUGUGCAAAUGCUAGUAUUACUUUAAACCUCAAAUUAUUUUUACACUAUCAAUUAUAUCCUUAAUUAUAGAUUUUUUUACAAACCUUGAAUUAUUAAUUUUGUAUCAAUUGCACCACUCGUCUAUUUUUUUUUGGCUCUGAAAAUUUGACGUGGCUCGCCGGAUGCUAUGAUUAUUCAAAAUCAAUCCUUCUUGAACAUGCUUUAUACUCCAUAAAACAACAUCAUUAUAUGAUUUAUUAAUUGAAAAUUUAAAGAGUGAAACAUGGAUGAAGGGUACAAUUAAUAUAAAAUCGAUAGUUUAAGUCUUAAAAAAUAUUUUUCAAUAGUUCAAGAUAUAAUUGAUUGUGAACAUAAUUUGGGGUUUAAAGUAAUAUUUACCGUUAUAUCUAAUCCUUAUAUGUAUGUAUAUAUAUAUAUUCUCUAGUAGUCAUAGACUACUAUAAAUUAGAUAUAGGAUUGAAGAAUAUAUGGAUAAAAAUGAUUAAAAUAAGGACAUAAGAAAAUUAAAAAUAGAGAAUAGAGAAAAUCGUAUAAUCAUCCAUGACAAUUUCUAAAAUUCGGAAAAUAUUUUCUUCUAUUUAUUUACUCAUAUAUAUAUAUAUAUAUAUAUAUAUAUAUAUUUGCUCAAAUAUUUAGCAUAUAGAGAAAUGAAAUUCUACAUUUCUUCAAGUUACGCCAACUUGAUAAUUUUAUGAAACUAAAUAUUCUAUAAUCUAUAAUAUCUAUACUAUAUUAAAAAGGCAGUUUCCAAUUUGAAAUCAAUUUCAAAAUUAAGUUUCAAUUUUGUAGUUAUAAUAAAAUUGAAGGUUUCUGUUUAAACUAUAUUUUUCUUUUUAUUUUUCAUUUCUUUAACUUCUUAUUUGUUGUUUUAUUUCUUUCCAAAAUUAUGAAAUUCGAUUAAUUAUAAAAUAUUUAAUAUACCUAUCAAAUUAAAGAUCACGAUAAGAGCUUUAAUUUGAUAUAUUUUAUGUAAAUAUUUGAUUUAAAAUGUACAAAUUAAAUUUGUUUAUUAUAAUUUUAUAAAUUUCUCUCUCCUCCCUCAUCAUUUUGAAAAAAUGUAUUUUAAAUUCUUUUUUAUUACAUUUUUUAAAAAAAAUUAACUUUUUUUUUGCUUUUCAUAAUAUCAAAUUUUAUAAUUGUAAAUUCUUUUUUAUUUUUUAUUUUUAAUAUUCAAUUCAAAUAUAUUUAGUUAAAAUUAAUUUUUAUUAUAUUUAUGAGUAUGAUAAUUGAAUUAGUAUUAACUUUUAUAUAUACAAAAAUAAAAGAUAUUUUCCCGUGCGUUGCAUGGGAUGCAAAUGCUAGUUAUAUUAAAAAGACAAUUUCCAAUUUGAAAUCAAUUUCAAAAUUGAAUGGCAAUUUUGAAGUUAUAAUAAAAUUGAAAGUUAAUUUGUAAACUAUAUUUUUCAUUUAACCUCUUAUUUUUUUAUUUUAUUUCUUUCCAAAAUUGUGAAAUUCGAUUGGUUAUAAAACAUUUAAUAUGGAUAUCAAAUUGAAGAUCACGAUAAGAGCUUUAAUUUGAUAUAUUUUAUGUAAAUAUUUGAUUUAAAAUGUAAAACUUAUAUUUGUUUAAAAACUAAUUUUUUUUAAAAAAAUCUCUCUCCUCUCUCAUCUUUUUGAAUAAAUUUAUUUUUUAAUUAUUUUUAUUAAAUUUUAGUUUUUCUUGUCUUUUUUUACAUUUUAUAAUAUCAAAAUUUAUAAUUGUGAGUUCCUCUUUAUUUUUUUAUUCAAUCAAUAUUAAAUUGAAAUAUAUCCAAUUAAAAUCAAAAUUUUAUUAUAUUUAUAAGUAUGAUAAUUAAAUUAGUAUUAAUUUAAUAUAAAUAUAAAAAUUUAAAAUAUUUUUCCGUUCAUUGCACGGGGUGUAAAUGCUAGUUAAAAUUAAAUCAUUUACUUAGCUAGACAUCUUAAUAAUAGAUCAAAAAAAUAUUUUCAAUAAAAAUAAAAUUAUUUAUUUGACCAACUAAUUAACUGACCAAAUUUAAUUUGAGGUGCAAAAUAAUUCAGGGAUGGGAAAAUACAUAUUAUAUCUACUCCUUUUAUAUAUGUUCUCUAGUAAUGAUAGACUACUAUAAAUUUGAUGUGGUAUUGGAGAAGAUAUGGAUAAAAAUGAUUAAAAAUAAGGAAUAGAGAAAAUCGUAUAAUCAUACAUGUUAAUUUUUUCUAAGAGAAGUACAUUGAUUUUAUCUUAUACUAUCAGUUUAAAAGUUUAUGUUUCAUAAUUAUAAUAAUCUUUCAAAUAUUUUCUUCUAAUUAUUUGCUCAAAUAUUUAGCAUACGGAGAAAUGCAAUUCUAUAUUUCUUCAAGUCAUUUUUAUAAUUAGUAUUCAUCUUAAUAAUGGUCAAAAUAAUUUUUUAGUAAAAACACAACUAAUAAUUGUUUAUUUGGAGGUGCAAAUACUUGAAAUAUGGAAAAAUACACAUUGUAUCUAAUCAUUUUAUAUAUGUUCUCUAGUAGGCAUACACUACUAUAAAUUUGAUGUGGGAUUGGAUAAAAAAUAAUUAAAAUGAGGACUUGAGAUGAAUAAAAUUAAAAAAUAGAGAAAAUCAUAUAAUCAUGACAAUUUUUUCUAAGGGGAUACAUCAGUUUAAAAAUUUAUGUUUCAAAAAUUAUAAAAAUCUAGCAAAUAUUUUCUAAUUAUUUGCUCAAAUAUUUAACAUAUGGAGAAAUGCAAUUCUACGAUUCUUCAAAUUACGUCAACUUACAAUUUUGUGAACUUAAAUAUUUUCUAAUUAAAAAAAAUCAAUUACUUAGCCAAUUAGCAUUGACGUUUUAAUAAUUGAUAAAAACAAAAUUUUCAAUAAAAAUAAAACUAUUUAUUUGGCCAACUAAUUAAUAAAUCAAAUUUAAUUAAAUGUGCAAAAUAAUUGAGGGAUGGAGAAAUACACAUUAUAUCUAAUCCUUUUAUAUGUGUUCUCUAGUAGUCAUUGACUACUAUAAAUUCAAUGUGGGAUGAGAGAAUGUAUAGAUUAGAAUGAUUAAAUGGGGAUUUAAGAUAAAUUAGAAUAUAGAAUAGAGGAUGUGCCACAUAGGAUCUUGAAUUAAGGGGAGUCCUUGAAUAUGUAAUCUAUUAAAUAAUAGAUAGAUUCGAUUGCUGGUAAUUAUAGAAUGAUUGUUAACUUUAGAAAGAACAUAUUUUGGAAAGAAUUUUAACAAUGGAAACUUAUAACCUAGAAUUUUAUCUAUAAAUUCCUUAGUAAAAAUUAUUAACGCAAGGUACCUUCUUCUUCUUUUGUUGUAUUUCUUUUGCAUUGAGCCGGGUGUGUGUGCUUAUGAGUUCUGAUUUUGGCGAUUGAUGUAUGCUGUGAAUCAUGUUUAAAUUUGUUUCGUCAAGUUGUUUGAGUGUGAGUGUGCUUAUGAGUUCUGAUAAUUAUAGCGACCUUCUCCUGCAAACAAGGAUAGAAGUACCUUUUUUGUUUAGGUUGUAAUUUGUAAAUCUGAUUAAUAAUGUGAGAAUUUAUGUAGUAGUUGAUAAAUCGAGCUGUAGGAACUGGUAUAUGCUUAUCUACCGAGUUCUUUGAGAGCAGUUUAUGUUUUUUUCUCAUGGAUGACUUGAGCUUUGUUGGUGGCAGUAUAAAUAAUUGGAUGAAGACCAUAUUUAGUUCGAAACUAUCACACUAAAUGUGAUCCUGAUUAUCUUAAUAUUAUACUUGGAAUUCCUUUGAAUUGAUAUGUUAUUUUGGCUUGUGAACAGGAAGACCUAUUUAUGAGACUGGCGCCAGACCCUUUGAAGAGUCGGUCCCCAUUGGCACAGGGAAAGGUGAAUCAGAGGAUUGUUUUUUUUAGAAGCUUUUGUUUGAUUUUUUUUUUGUUAUUGUUAAUAACACAUAGAAAUAUUGUAAUAGAUCUGAUAUUAUCUAUCAUGCUAUAUUUUCAAUUGAUUAGAACUUUAUAAUAGUUUUUGACUGAUAUAUACUCAUUAAACUCUCUGAAAAAGUACCCGUCGCGGAUCGGGGGCAGAUACGGUCUUCGCUCGCGGGUACGGGCAUGGAUAGCCACUAUCCGUGCCCGCCGUACCCGAUUGUCAUUCCUAAUUAUAACGCAUUAUUUUUCAAGUUCAUUUGACAACUUUUCGAAUAUAUAUUUUACUAAGUAAAUGUCGAAGCAGCUGAAUUAGUAGCCCGAGUUGAAAUUUUGAUUUUUUUUCCUCUUCCAAUUGUCAAGUCCUCAAAAUGCCCCACCACCAAUAGAUGUAUUUGAUAAUUUUAAAUAUGAGCACCAGAUGAGAUGUGAUAUCAUCUAAAAGUUUUCAUGCUAUUAUUUUGAAUAUAGCUUGUGAUAUUUGCAGGAAUUCUAGCCGGAGACAAAGAGAUUGCUCCAAAUUUUGCAGCAGAGUAAUAAUAUAUGUAUGUGUGCUCUUCUUUUAUUCUUAUGAAGCAUAAAACGGUUAGGCAUAAAUACAACCAUGGUAGAGACGGGAUGCAUUUAGUUUGAUGGAUGAGAUAAAUUAGAAGUAUCUUAGGCAUUAACACCUUCUAUUCGAUUUAUUUAUUCCGAUGAAAUUAUCUUUCUCAUUGUGAGUUCCCUUUUUGUUUGAUUUUUGUUUUGUGCUCCUCUUGAAGCUCGACUGAAUUUGGUGACAGUGCGAAAUAUGUUACUUAUAUAUAUUCAUUUGUUUUAUCUUUUCCUUCUCUUUUUUUGAUUUAUAAGAAUGGUCUAUGAUUUCUGUUCUUGAUCAGUUCGUUAGAACAUCUUUAUUUUCUACAACAAAUUGAGAUUAGUAAUCCUAAGUAGGGAUUAAUAAAUUCUAAUAUAUGAGGAUUAAUGAACCCUAAUUGGAUAUUUUUAGGGCAGAUGCACCAUAAGUCCGGACAUGUAUACAAGAUUUUGCCUAUUUAGAUUAUGCAAUUUUCUAAGUAUUAGUGUAUUACAGUAGUGUUCUUGCAACUCAUAAACAAUGUUUUCUGUUGCAAUCGAAAAAUUAUGAGAAGAUGUUAAGAAUUAUCUGGAUUCAUUAUAUAUUUUUUUAAUGUAUUUUCCAGCCACGUGAUUCUGAAUAUCAGUUGUGAUUAGUUAUUCAGUUUGGAUUUUGUUUUGAUUAAUUUUCUGUGCUUUAAGGUGUAUGAUCGUUGUUUAAUAGUAAAAGAUUGUUGUAGAAUUCUACCUUCCUCUAUCGUUAACUGUAUCCCCUUUUCUCCAACUCCACAGCAUGCUUACUAAGCUCUGAGGGGAGUAUAUGCAUAAGUUCUGAAGCAAGUCACGCCAAACAAACAAUAUAUGUCAGAUAAUAUAGUGCAAAAAGACAAGGACUCACUCUGAGUGUAAUCUCUUUGGUAACAUUCAUCACAUUGUUUCAGAAACUUUUGGAGGCGGAUGAAGUGCUUGGUUUCUGUUCUUAGUAGAUCAUUGGUGGUUUUGAAAUCAAUGGUAUGAGUAGGCUCUUGAGAAACCUUAGCGACUGGAGUGUUGUUGCCAUGCUUCCCAUUUAUUAAGAUUCUUAUCCUUCUUCUUUUGCUGUGUUUCUGCUAUACACCUUUUUAUAUAAUUGAUUUUGCAGAUUUUUGGUUUAGACUUAGUGAAUUAACUCUAUUUUUGUAAAAUGUAUAUUUAUUCAAUUUGGUUUGGUGAAUUUUGUAAUUUUCUCCGGCAAUAUUUUAUGAUUUGAGUUGUGCAUACCAUUGAUUAAUGAAAAUUAGGGAAUAAAGAGUUUGACUUUGAUUUGGUAAACGUUUUUUAAAAAUUAAUUUGGCGUGGUAUAGCUGUUUAAGUUGGCUGACUCAUGUUUUAACAUGUUGGUAUAACAUGCUACAAAUCACAUAUCUUCGGGCCUUUUAUAAAUAGAGAAACUUUAAUCAAAUUUUGAUUUAUACAUAAAUAAAAAAAUCUCGACUUUAAAUGUGAUGAAUUUUUUUAUUUUAUUUUUCUACAUGAUUAUUAAUUAACUGAAAUUAACGCAUGAUUUGAGGGCAAUGUACUAUGAUUCCUCUCCCUUUCCCAGAUAUAUUUGCACUUGGUCUUUUCCGGAAGAAAAUCAUUUCGGCGUUUCCUACUAGACACAAAUAAGAUACACUAUUAGUGGGAUUGUGCAUACAUACGGAUUCGCACAUACUUACAUACACACGCACACUUUCCAUAUAUUGCAGAUUACAGUUCUGCAAUGGUUAACUUAGCUUGAGUUGUCCUGGGUCGUUUGGGAUGAUCCUACUUGGAAAAAUGAUUCUAAUAGUUGUUUAUAUGGCAUCAAAGAAACUACCUGCAUAUUUCAGAUUAGCUUUUGCAAUUCUAUUAUUCAACUAAUCUUUAUCGUUAUUUUCAAGCUUCGGCGGGUAUCCGACGGGUAGCGGGUGGCAUAUAUCCGACGGAUAGCAGGGUUGGUGGAUACCCGACGGGUGGCGGAUAUCCGCGGAUCGUGUGUAUGAGUUGCAAAUAGUAGUGUAUAAGAAGUUGACAUUUUCUCUAAAAUUUGCUGCAGUUUCGUUGUUAUUUAUUUGUUGGGUGAUUGAUUGCAGUAUGCCGACGGAUAGUGGGUGGCGGAUACCCGACGGAUAGCGGGUAUAGUAUGCCGACGGAUAGCGGGUAUCCGCGGAGCGCGGGUAUGGGUGGCAAAUAAUUUUUUCGAAUAUACGUUUCGUUAAGUUAUGUUAAGGAUGAAAGUCCUCCUUAAUUUAUUUUUUUUUCAUUUUAGGUUGCUGUAUAACGUAAAUCUAUAUCAUAUUAAUAAUUUUUUUUAGUGAAUAAUCUCCAUAAUUUAUAAAUGUAUUAAGAAAUAUUUUUUAUAUUUUUUUAUAUAAAUUAUAACAGCAAAUGAUACCCGUCGAAAUUCGACGGGUUACACACUAGUAUAAAGUAGAAGUAUUAAAGAAUGGAAAGGGCCACUACAUUUAAGACAGAGAAGCGUGGUCCUUUUAUUUACUCACAAUUUAAUUGGACAUUGUCAACGAAUUUAUUCCCUUCACCAAUAUUGUAAUAAUAAUAUUUCGAUAACGGUUAGCAGUCGUCUUAAUUUUUGAGGACAACAAUGUUACAUGUUUGCUUUUCUUGAACAGCAUAUGUGAAAGGGGUAAAAGGGAGAUUAAAUGCACAAAAAGUUAUGAGAAAUCACGAGUUAGUGAUUUGUAACACGGCAUUUAUAUUCGAAAACAAACGCCAACGCAUUCUGUAAAAUUUAUAAUUUGAAAAAAAAAAAACAAAAAAAACAAUUGUAGAACAGACCGUUCAACUUUUAUUAUACAUGUAUAAAAUGUGCUUAAAGAUAUUUGUGUUGAAAUCAUGGAGGUAGUUUAAGGUAGGGACGGAGCCAGGAAUUAAGUUCAGGGGGGCGGGGGGAGGGGCUGAAUUUGUAUGGCCCUCGAGAAAAUUUUUUUGAGCUUUCAUAUAUUUAAGGCAUUUUUUUACUAAAAUACGAGUAUAAUAGUAAUAAUAACGAACAACAUUUGAAAUAUAUGACGAUGCAGAUUUUCCCUCUCAACCCACGAACCCUAGCCGUCACAACUUUCUUGCCAUGAGUUCCCGGCCGAUGGCUCUGAGUCCGCCGGUCGCCGUUCGAGACAAGGGGGGACUACAUCUACCCUCGGUCUCGGCUAAUUUUGAAGUAGUUAGAACUCCGAUUCAUGAUAACUCCCUUCGCCCGUCUCAGGCCUUGCUUUCCAUGGGUCCUGGAUCUUCUACCGGCGCGGCUGCCGUUGGGCCGCACUCGACUGGUACUUCACCAGGUCCGUCCGGUGUUCACACCAAUAAUCUUCAAAGAUCUCCUCCACAUCUGAUAACGUCACUAAUUCGGCGAGCCAUAAGCAUGAAGCUAAGGUUUCCUAUGCGGCUGCUACCGUAAAGAGGCCAGUCAAGAGCCGGAUUGGCUGCGCAUAUCUUCCAUGAUCUGCGGCCUACUAAGGAGGGCGAUCAGUUCUCCCUCAAAGUCCCAAAAGAACUUUAUCUUAAAGAGGUUAAGGCCUUCGAACAUGCUUUGACAGGCCGUUUGCUGCUACGGAAGGGGGACAAGCCAAGAUCUACGUUGGAACUGAAGACGGAGCUUCAGAGUUUAUGGGGUUUGGCCUCGGUCUGGCAAUUAAUUCCUUUGGGUAAAGGAUACUUCACGCUCCGUUUUACUUCAGCCGAGGAUAAGGCUAUAGCGAAGGGGAAGGCUGUCUGGGAGCUUUCUAAGGGACUUCUCCGGCUGCGGGAGUGGACUCGUAAUUUCGAUCCUUUCAAGGAAAACUCUCCUCUAGCGAAUGUUUGGGUUUGCAUACACUACUUGCCGAUCGAAUAUUGGAAUCCUCAGGUUAUCUCUGGUAUUGGCAGGUUUUUGGGUCAUCCGUUAAAGAUUGAUGGAAUGUCGGCUGAUCGCGACUUUGGGCAAUUCGCUCAAAUUCUUGUGGAAAUAGAUUUAUCUCAAACUCUUCCUCCUACAUUGUUAAUUGAUGGUGAAGAUAGCUCGUUUCACGUGGAAUUUGUCUUUGAAAAUCUUCCUUUUUAUUGUGGUCGUUGCAAGAUUACUGGGCAUUCUGAAGAUAAAUGCCGAAAGAAUCGUCAUGAGGCAUCGAAAACUCAUCUGGACAAACCAGCAGACGUGGGUUUGCAGAUUUUUACCAACAGAACCUAAAUCACAGCCUAAGGUGUUGAAUGAAAAGAAUGGCACCUGGUUGAGAGAGGUAAGGCGACUGCUGUCGAAACGGCGCAAAUUGAGGUGGUGCAAGGAGAUUCCCACUCUAGGAACUCGUUUGCUCCUCUGGUUACAGAGGAGCAGCAGGACCUUCAGGAAGAGAGAGUGUAGAACAGCGUGGACUUGGACUUCCUGAAGUCAGAUGAUUACGGUGUUNUUUUUUUACUAAAAUACGAGUAUAAUAGUAAUAAUAACGAACAACAUUUGAAAUAUAUGACGAUGCAGAUUUUCCCUCUCAACCCACGAACCCUAGCCGUCACAACUUUCUUGCCAUGAGUUCCCGGCCGAUGGCUCUGAGUCCGCCGGUCGCCGUUCGAGACAAGGGGGGACUACAUCUACCCUCGGUCUCGGCUAAUUUUGAAGUAGUUAGAACUCCGUUUCAUGAUAAUUCCCUUCGCCCGUCUCAGGCCUUGCUUUCCAUGGGUCCUGAAUCCUCUACCGGCGCGGCUGCCGUUGGGCCGCACUCGACUGGUACUUCACCAAGUCCGUCCGGUGUUCACACCAAUAAUCUUCAACAGAUCUCCUCCACAUCAGAUAACGUCACUAAUUCGGCGAGCCAUAAGCAUGAAGCUAAGGUUUCCUAUGCGGCUGCUACCGUAAAGAGGCCAGUCAAGAAGCCGGAUUUGGCUGCGCAUAUCUUCCAUGAUCUGCGGCCUACUAAGGAGGGCGAUCAGUUCUCCCUCAAAGUCCCAAAAGAACUUUAUCUCAAAGAGGUUAAGGCCUUCGAACAUGCUUUGACAAGCCGUUUGCUGCUACGGAAGGGGGACAAGCCAAGAUCUACGUUGGAACUGAAGACGGAGCUUCAGAGUUUAUGGGGUUUGGCCUCGGUCUGGCAAUUAAUUCCUUUGGGUAAAGGAUACUUCACGCUCCGUUUUACUUCAGCCGAGGAUAAGGCUAUAGCGAAGGGGAAGGCUGUCUGGGAGCUUUCUAAGGGACUUCUCCGGCUGCGGGAGUGGACUCGUAAUUUCGAUCCUUUCAAGGAAAACUCUCCUCUGGCGAAUGUUUGGGUCCGCAUACACUACUUGCCGAUCGAAUAUUGGAAUCCUCAGGUUAUCUCUGGUAUUGGCAGGUUUUUGGGUCAUCCGUUAAAGAUUGAUGGAACGUCGGCUGAUCGCGACUUUGGGCAAUUCGCUCGAAUUCUUGUGGAAAUAGAUUUAUCUCAAACUCUUCCUUCUACAUUGUUAAUUGAUGGUGAAGAUAGCUCGUUUCACGUGGAAUUUGUCUUUGAAAAUCUUCCUUUUUAUUGUGGUCGUUGCAAGAUUACUGGGCAUUCUCAAGAUAAAUGCCGAAAGAAUCGUCAUGAGGCGUCGAAAACUCAUCUGGACAAACCAGCAGACGUGGGUUUGCAGAUUUUACCAACAGAACCUAAAUCACAGCCUAAGGUGUUGAAUGAAAAAGAAUGGCACGUGGUUGAGAGAGGUAAGGCGACUGCUGUCGAAACGGCGCAAAUUGAGGUGGUGCAAGGAGAUUCCCACUCUAGGAACUCGUUUGCUCCUCUGGUCACAGAGGAGCAGCAGGACCUUCAGGAAGAGAGAAUGGAGAACAGCGUGGAUUUGGGCUUCCUGAAGUCAGAUGAUCAUGGUGUUGGGCAGAAGAAGAUGUCAGGGUCAGAUCAGCUGGCUAAUAGUGACGAGGAGGUGGACGAGGAAAUUGUGAUGGAGACGUCGGCUGAGAAGACGGCUGAGACUGCUACUGCGGUGAGCCCGCAAGGGGUGGUUAGUCAGCAGCCAAAAGAUUUUGAUAGUCGUAUCAGUCGAUUGGAGGAGCAGGUUAACCAGGGAAUGCAAUUGCUUGCUCAUCAGGCGCUGCCUAAACGACGCGGCCGUCCUCCAAAAGGUAUGGAGCGUCCGCGCAUCCCACAACCUCUAGAAGAUAGCAUAAAAAGUCGACUCCGAAAUGCGGAGGAAAUGGGUUAUAAGCCGAGGGACUUUGUUAUCGAUAAUAGCAGAAGUGCUAGCUUGCAUGUUAUGAAUAAUAUCGCCAAAGGACGUUGGUCGGAUGCAAUGGAGAUGGACGAUUUCCACGAUAAUAUGGAUUAUCCUUAUUGUUAGGUAUUUUUGCGUUAGAGUUUUAGCGAGCUGAAGCUUUAGGCUUCCUGCUCCUUUUCGUUUUUCUUUCUUUGACGAGCUUCUUUUGGAGUCUCGGAUCCCUUGUCUGCGUUCUUGUUCUUUCACAUGUUUUUUCUCUUUUCCUUUUUAUAUAAAACCUCAAUUUAAUAAUAACGAACAACAUUUGUUUGAACAUUUCGUAUAUUUUUGGCAUUUUUUAUUAAAAGACAAGCAUAAUCUAAAUAGCAAACAAUUUUUUUUUGGGCAUUUCAUACAUUUUCUAUUAAAAGACAAGUAUAAUAAUAAUAAUAGUAAUAAUAAUAAUGAACAAUAUUUUCAUAGAUUAUAUAGUUUUAAAUAACACGAUUAUCCUUAAGUUAAGUAUAUAUGAGUGAAUAUAACAAGCAAAUCAACUUUUGUAUAACCAAGUUUCACUAUAUUUUAUUAAAUGAAUUUUGUUUAGUUCAACUUAUUAAAUUGGAUUUUAAGUAGAAAUUAUAUUGGGCUCAAUCAUAGAAUGAACCACUAAAAAAAUUGUAUACACGUAUAUAAUUAAAUAAACAUUUAUAUAAAUUUAUAUAUUUAUGCAUAUAUAUACAUAAAAAAAAUUUAAUUUUUUUUUGGGGGGGGAGGGGGGGGGUUGCCACUACCAGCCACCCCCUAUCUCCGUCUCUGGACUUUAAGGGAUAAUAGUUCUAAUUUAAUAAGUCACAUUUUUUUUUAUUUGAACAUUUCAAUUUUAAUGGUCAUUUUUUUAAAAAUAAAAAAUUAGUACAUAAUAAACAUAUGUAUUUAACUCAUUAUUUACACUAAAUAUUAUUGUAGACCAAAAAUAAUUAUUAUCUUUUUUUUAACUUAAAAAAAUAUUAUCAUUCUCUCUCCUAUUAUUUUGACAAAUAUACCCUUAAAAAAUUAUCUUCUUUCUAUUAUUUUUAUUAUGAAGGGAUAAUUGCAAAAAAACACACGAACUUUCACACUUUUUCUUAUUUUGCACAUGCACUUAAAAUUACUGCCUCCAAAUACACAAAAUUUCAUUUCUUUCUGAUUUUGUGCAUGAUGAAUAUUUUUUAAGAAUGAUUCGUUAAUAUAUUUUUGUAUCAUUGUUGUAGAAUUUACACAAUGUCCAACUGCGCCAAUUAGGAAGACUUAUGUUUAAGCCACGCAGACAAUUCUGACUUCUGCCUCAAUUUUUCAUUCGUCGAAAAUAUUUAUCGUAUGCAAAAUCAGAAAGAAAUGAAAGUUCGUGUAUUUUGAAGUAAAAUUUGAAUUUUGAAGUCAUGUGCAAAACUAAUUAAAUAUGUGUGAAAGUUCAAAUAUUUUGGCGCUAAUUAACCAUAUUAUAACUUAUUUGUUUGUUAACAUCCACGCCCUAUGGCCUAUUAAAUUGAGAUAGAGAGUAAUAAGUAUGGAUCAUCACAUUGCAUCAUUCUGAUCUACACAAAUUCCCUUCUUACGAUGAGAGUGAUGACAAAUUUAGAGGAGAAAGACCAACUCUUCACUACAAGAAAAGAAGGAUAUAACGACCAAGUUUAACGACCGAAAAAAUCGGUCUUUAAAAAAGCGGUCCUAACGACCGAAUAUUUAAUGGCAACGACCGAUCUUGAUUUUGUUUAUUUAUUAUUUAUUUUUGCAACUUAACGACNGGAUGGGGAACAAUGGCAUGGUGUUUCACAAAACAUAACCUAACCUUGCGAGGUAUAAUGUUGGUAUUUGUCAAAGAUGGUUAUUUUAUAUUCAAAGAUGUCUUAAUUAGUUUUUACAACAUCUGUCACUACCUUUUGUUUUGGAGAGGACACCUAGUAACAACUAACUCCCAACAACCUUAAUUAAUUUAGCCUAAAGAAGAGCAAAAUUACCGAUAUUUAAAAACCAUUCAAUUCUUCUCCCUUCACGCCACAAACAUCAAACACCUGCAUUCGAAAACUCUAUCUUUGUUCUAUCCCAAAAAUGCCAUUCCCUACCAAAGGCUCCCAAGCUUUGUACCUCUAUCCCUUGCAAGUGGGAUUCGACCAAAGACAAAUUGCUCCUCUCGUGUCUUAUAGAAAAGAUCGAAGAAUGCCGCCCAUCCCCACCCCAUCUUUCGCCUCACGCGCUAAUUCAUGCGAUGUUGGCACUAAACUCGCAACUACAAGCGGGUAUGUCGCUCAAUGAAGUCGAGGAGCGAGUUGAAUUCCUUCACGAACGCUACGUAUGCUUUAAACAUUUGUGCAAGCUGAAAGAAACCUAGUUCGAUCAAAAAACAAACGUGAUUCACGCCAUCGAUGAAGUGUGGAAACGGCUAUUUAAGGUUUAUUUACCGUUGAGAUUAUUUAGUAGUUAAUUUCUGGUUUUUAAAUGAACAUUCAUUUAAUUGUUUUUUCCAUAGGAAAAUGCUUUCUUCUGAGCCUAUUACCAUGAAGGCGAGCCCGAAUUUUUACAAAUGUGCAACCUCUUUGGCAUUCACGACGUAAAGCGAGAGCUUUCCUACACCGUCAUCGUCAUUGAAGACUCGUCGACCGUUAAGAAACGAUGUGACUCUAGUGACGACGAGGUAACAUCGCCUAUACCGAAACCACCGGUGUCUAGAAAGCUCUUCGUGGAUGAUGCAUGUUCUAGCGUCGCGCCUUCGGUUCUAAAUCCAUUGAAAGGCAAAGUGACGGUCCCAUGGAAGUCUCUGAAAAACAAAUUUUGUCGGCCAAAUGCUUUUCCCGUGAAGAAGAAAGAUGGCCGGGAUCCCGAUGCCGGAUGUUGCGCAAGUUCGUGCGCCUCUUCUUCGCCAUUCAAAUAGAGCAUUUUCCGCUGCCAUUCUUGAAGUUUGCUGUUUGUUUUUUCCAAUGAGUUAGUUCCAUCGAAGGUUGUCUUUGUUUAAGUUAGUUUCUUACCAUUUUCAGAAUAUGUUGCAAUCACCAGAGCUUAUAGGCUCAUUGCUUUGUUCUAUUGAAGUUCAUCUUUUUCCCAUUGCAAAGAGCCUCGAUGAAUUCAUGUGCUAUGAAUAAUGCAAGGUGAAUGAUAAUUUAAGAGCAGAUAGUCUUCAAAAAAAUAGAACCCCAAGCAUAAACCACGUAAAAAAUAACAGCUAGGACAACACGAAUAACAGAUCAUGAAAACGGAAUUAAAACCAUAAAAAUAGAAUUCAAUCAUCCAUAAAACAACAUACCAAGAACAGCAAAAGAUGGAACGGAUAAUAUCCAACAAAAACCAAUUGAAAGAUGAAACAAUUGUCAAGCUAUUCCUUGGAAUAGAUACCAAAUGAAGUCUGCGAUGUAUACACGCACAAAAGAGACGAUUAAAUCAUUCCCAUACGCCGCUGACUUACUUAUGUUUCAAAGCAAGUAAGUACAACACGUAGUCUUCUUUCGAGUCUUCCGGGAGGCUCGAAAACACGUCCAGAAGCUCCACCUCCUUAGCAAGCAUAUUACAGAUGUCAAACUUCUCGGUCUUUGACAGCCCCGGAAUACCACUCAACUGUGCAAAAACUUCAUUCCUUGCUUUUGAUAUAUCGUAGUCGUAUCCGACUUCAUAUGGUAUCAAGUCUAGUUUCCGUGCCACGGCCAAUAUUAGUUAGAGACUCGAAAAACCUGUCAUCAAAACUGACACUACGGCGCCGCUUUUUGCUGGAUGUUGAAGCUUCCUUUUCAGCCGUUACAGUCUCUUCCCGCGGUUGGGUUUGGCUUACAUUGUCACCCGUUUCACCGUUCUCCAAUAUAUUUUCAAGUGAGACGUGGUAUUCACCAUCAUCAAGCGGUUGGUUGAUAUCUAACUUCUGAUAGAUCGUAAAAGCCGCCUCCAUGACAUCCUCCGCCUCAUCGCCUGUAGCUCUAUCUUUUCCGAAUAUAAGCUUCCAAUCUUCUACAUAAGGCCAGCUUUUAUAUCGAAAGUUGCGCACAUUGUCAUCGACCUAAAUGACAGCGGCAAAAAAAAUGAUAAAACAAUCACAAAAUAUGGACGUCUAUAUAUAUUGAUAAAUGAACUUACCCUCACAAAGUUCUCCCACUGCUCGUCAUCGCAAUCAAUCAUGUGCUUCCCGUUAACAUUGAAGCCAACUCCACUAGUUUUGAGAAUGUUCCACAGUGAAGAGUAAGUCUUUUUCUACGUUGUCAUCUUCGAGUUUAUAUGAGGCAUUCCCUUCAAGUUGGUGGUCGGAAAUUCCUUCUUCAUAGCCUCCUCUAACUUACUCAAAUAGCCGGCUCGGAACCCGUUGUCAGAUUUCCAUCCAAGUGCAACGAGCUCUUUCAAUGCAACGAUUAGAACUUCUUCCCUAACGAACCAACUGCGGCGCUUUUGGUCCGUCUUGUUGACACGGCCAGAACGUGUAGUUCCUGUGCUACCUAAACCACAAGCAAAGCAUAUAUUCUGUCAAAUUACUUCACAUCGAUCCAUCGACAAUCUAACACGAUAUCAACAGACGGUUAUAAAAUAUAUAAACAUGCUCGACGACCUAUUGUAGAGGCAUGAGCAGGUUCCUGUUUAAAAAUAUAAGAUGGCUAUAAACAUACUUUCUACACAGAUUAUAGCGGCAUGAGCAGCAUCCAAAGGCCAGUUCAGAUUGCGAAAGGAAAAUGUAAGACGAAUAUGAACACAUACAAAAAAGAUAUAAACAAAAUCGAAGCACACGGAUUUUUGACAAUAAUACGUUGUGAAAAUCCACCACAAAAUAUGAUACAAAAAAUAGAUAUAAACAUGAUAUAAAAAAGGUAUGAACAUAACAUGAUAAAAGAUAAUUUAUAUAACUCAUUUUCUCAUAGAAAUGCAGAUCUAUUCCAAUGGCCGAAACAUAUCAUUACAUAAAACAUCUAUGAUCAAUGUAAAGGGAUGCGAGAAGUAAGAAGCAUGAAAAACCUUGAGUUGCUUGGCUCAUUUUCGCAGCUGUAGGACCACCCUAUUGUUGCUUCAAUGGAGCGCGGUGUUGCCUCUUCUGCGCGACGACCUUGCGGCUGUUCAAUGGAGGGAGACUUUCCUAUUCUGUGCAAGGGUUUUCUUGGCGGGCUCAAGUCUGUUCCGAAAAAAGGGUUUUGGCCGUUGGGUGUGUUAAUUGCGCAGGUGCAAUGGAUGAGGGUACGCUGGGAAUUUUCAAAUAUGUAAAGGGACAAUUAUGUCCAUUCUUAAGUUUAUAUAACCUAGUAAUAUGAAUACCAAACAAAAAUUAGGAUUAAUUAGCUACAAUAGCAAACAACCAACCCAUAUUAAUAAUAUGCAGUUAUCCACACUAAUUAUCUGGUUAAAUAUUAUCCAUGCUAAUACUUAACCGAGAACCAAACCAGCCCUAAUAGUAUUAGAUUAGUGAUGAGUGAUGAGUGAUGAGUGAUGAGUGAUCUCACUAAUCAAAUUAAUAUUCUUAAUUUAUAAUUAUAAGAUUCUUACUAAGAAUCUUCAAUUCUUUCUAGGAAUCUUGUAUUAGUGAUUAGUGAUGAGUGAUGAGUGAUCUCACCAAUCAAAUUAACAUUCUUAACUAAGAAUCUUGAAUUGGAUGAGUGGAUCAUUAAUCAAACCAUCUAACAAUGUUACUAAGAAUCUAACAUUCCUUCUAAGAUUCUUGGAUUGGAUUAGUGGAUCAUUAAUCAAACCAUCUCACAAUGUUACUAUCCUUUUAAGAUUCCUUAUAAGAUUUUUAGAUUUGAUCAGUGGAUCAUUAAUCAAACCUUCUCAAAUUACUUGUUAGAUUGUAACAGUAAGAUUCAUUAAUUAAUUAGGUUACAUAGGUCGUUCAAUAUUAUAUAAAAUGUAAUUGAAUCACUAUUCGAACUAUUGCAGAUUUCAUAUUCACAUAAACAUAAUGUAAUACUCCCUCCGUCCAUGAUUCAGUGCCCCAUUUGGGUGUGGGCACGGAGUCUAAGAAAAGCUGAAAAAGGUGAUGUGGAUAAAGUAUAAGGGUAGUGAUUAAGAGAUUAGAUGACUUUUACUAAUUUUGUGUUAAAAGAGUGUUUUUAAUUUAUGAAUUUAUUUUUAGCACCAUUUGGGUUAUUUUUUUAAUUUAAAAUUUCAUUUAUUAAAUUUCAUUUUUUUUGGCCCAUUUUCCUUAAAUUUCUUUUUUUUUGGUCUAAUUUUUCUGCCAUUUAUUUUUCCCAUUUUUUAAUUGAUACAGCCUAUUUCAUAGUGCGAAAAGACACAACACAAUAAAAGCUAAGUCAAAAUGGAGGCAAAAUGAAUUUCAUUCCAAAAAGAGUACAGUGUUAUUGGCCUAGAUGGCAGCGAAAAUGCUCCCUCCAAGUUUGGAGGGAAAAAGUACACUUCACCUA
rnacentral:lncRNA from 1 species